GCACAUAGACAUAUAAGCAGUAGAUUGUGUCCUUCCAGAGGAGGAAAUCUACUUCUAGACUUCUAGAAUCAGCAUCUCCUCAUCCAUGGUGUCAUCGGGGUGAAAUGACGUCUAAAAACCUUUCACUUGUUCGUCUCCGCCAGUUUGCAUGGUGUGAAAUACGAUCCUCCUGAAACACGGAGUGUUUUAUUUUGAAAAGAAGCCGGAUCUUUUAUUUUGUGUCUGUGCCCGACUUCCUUUCCAGCACGGGUUGAAUUUAUCCGGCAUGCUCCAGCGUCUGGAAAAAAUUGAACUUUUGUGAUCAGCUGCAGAAUUUCUCCAUGUACUGGGUCACCUGACCUCUUGACUCACCUGCACAUGAAUUACACCACCAUUAAAUCACCCUACCAAGACCAGGAGACCCGAAUACGAACUUUACUUGUCGUUAAAUAAGAAUUAAAUAGACAGAACUCUUACAGAAAGGUUCCUCAACAACGUAAAGAAGUAGAUUUCUCCUUUAUCUGAGGGUAUUUCUCACUUUUUUAAAAUGACGACAUCUAAUCGUAAUUAUUAGAUACUUGAAUGAUCUCGCGGUUUCAGUGACUUCUUAUCCUCGUAGAGUUUGCUGCUCCCGACAACAACAUCAGACACAUUAUCAUCUGACUGACUGUUAUGAAAUGGUAGUACUCAGUAGAAUAAUAUCAUUUUGAACAUCUCCAACCUUUCACUUGAUGUGUUUAUUUUCCUGCAGCCUGAAACCUUCAGUGGCGGACUGAUGGCGCAGGAGCAAAAUGUCGCCUCCCUCCAGGCCCGUCUGAGUGAAUGUGCUGAGGUCUGACAUCCACCAGGUGCAUUGUGGGUUUGAUUCGACAGGGAGGCAGGUUGUUUUGUUGUUGUGAAGUGUAAGAAACAUCAAACCAGCAGAGUUACACCCGCCUGAGGGUGUGGAGCCGAUGGAAAGUGUGGACGGAGAAGUUUCGUGUUUUGUUUUUGGCAGGUAGGGGCGGCAGCGGCGUGAUUGAUUUUUGGAGAGUCAAAGGGGCGACUUUCUCUCUCAAAUACUAAGAGGAAUCUGCACUUUUAUUAUGAGGAGAAAAACACAAAUAUUUGGAGUUUGGUUUUGUAAGAAAGCUGACUUUAGUCAAUGCUUUUCUUUUCUGCUGGUGAGUUCACAUUUUGGAAACAAAAGACGCCGAAUCCUGCUGAUACAAGCAGGAUUAAGGCUGCAAACAGGAUCCAGUCCCCCCCUCUGGUGUUCAUUUUCCCACACUCACCAAAAUGAAUGAAUCAUAAUUUGGUACCAAAUGUUGUAAAUGGGAUUGACCCCUCGCCUGGAGUCUGAUAAAAUGGACAACACAGCACUCCACACUGACGCUGUGUUUACACCACAUGGGAACAAAAACACUUCUGCGAGUGAGUAACACGUAGAGUCGGUGUGAAGGUGAGAUUAGACCUGAGUUUUUUUAAACAGAUUAUACAUUUAAUUCAUGAAAACUCGUGACGUGUUCAGACUUAUUUUGUAGGAGUUGAAAAAUCUGAGCUGUAGUGAAUCACUUAACGCUCCAACAGCCAAUCAGCAUGUAGGUUCCCUGGUGACAUGGAUGCGACACUGAUGUUUGUUUUUGAUAUCGAAACAGGGAUAAGACGAAGCGACCUCGAGGAAAGUCAGUUAGACAGUUGGAGUAUCCGGUCAGUUGUGCAAACAUGACAAAUCCUCGUUGUGUAGUUAACCUAGCAUAAAUUUGUGUGUUUGGGCACUUCGAUAGACGCAAUACGGCACGCUAGUGACUCACCUACUCUCUUCCAGCAGCCGCUUGUUUGUAGUGAGACCUCGGGCCAGUCCAUUAUGGACAACAGUGGGGUGACGCAGCUCAAGGAAGAACAUUUACGAUCAGUACUUUAUAGAAAUAAGGUCUCCGUACAAACAAGCAGCUGCUGGAAGAGAGUAGGUGAGUUGUGUUUAGUCUCUUUGUUAAAGAAAUGAGUCAAAGUUAAAAAGAUGUUUGGUGUCUAGUACUAUGUCUGUGACCCUAUAUGUCCUGUUGAUGAAGUUAGGUGCUGUUCUGAGCAUUAUUUGUGGCUAUAGAGUGGCGUUUUGGUUGAGGUUUGUUUAUGGCUCCUGCGGUCGUUACAUUCAUCUCUAGACGGGUGUCUAACUCGGUGUUUAAGUGUGUUUGACCCUAAAUUAAUUUUACACCGGAAUAUCCCUUUAAGUGAGUUGAUAAUUUAACAAUGAUUCAUCGAUAGAUUUUAUUCAUUAACAACUGGGCUCAUUGAACACAACUACAGCUGAAACAAACAUGGCCGCCGCAGGGACGGUUUUUGCUUAAUGUAGCUAGCUGCUUCGAGAUCCAGUUCAUCUGUUCUGGAACCAACUUCUGUUCGACUCAUUCAUGUCAUUUUACCACGAAUCAACAACGCAUUUCACAUGGCUGUGUUUGCUGUGAAUAAAAAUCUUCCUGCUUCAGUCAGCUCGCAUCCUGAUUGGCUGUCAUUUUGAAUAAACGUAUUAUUCAUAUAUCAACAGUCGUUAGCUUGUAUGUGUUUUGGCGAACAUCGUACCCCGCUCAUGUGCUGAAGUUACUCUCCUGAAAACAGGGACACAGCAGAACAUUCUCCCAUCAUGUAUCUCUGCUGUUUCAGGUGUGCGGCUGCGAAAGAUCCCGUCGCUCUGAACUUGCGGCGUCCACCUCCAGCUGAGUAACUCUCGUUGUGAGUAAGUGACCUCAUUAUAACUCUUUUAUUUGGAGAUUCGGGCGUCUUACACGUCAUUUCAUCAUUAAACAAUAAAUCAGACCAGAUGCACGAAGCCGAGUCUCCUCAUCGCAGAACCGUCCGGUGUUUUUGCCAAUCUGUUGCUGUGGUGACGGCCAUGAUGGUUAUGAUUUACAUUCGUUAUCUCCCUCGCCAACCCUCCUCCGUCUCCCUCCUGCUCUCAUGGUGGGCGGUGUGGUUAAUACUCGUUAUGUUCGUUACAUUCAUUACAUCUGACAGCAUAAAUAGGCUGCUGUUUUGUUCUCCUGUCUGAUUUUUUUCUCCUCUCUUUCUGUCGUUGACGGCCGGUCGCUCUCCCUCGUUCCUCCCCCUGCCUCCAGAUCAGGUUUUUUUUCCCUCCUCCCUCGUCUCUCUUGCCUCUCUCUCUCUCCACCUCACUGAUGGUUGGAGCAGAGAGUCUAUUCACCAGAGAGAUGAAGCAACAGCUUUCCAGUGCAGCCCCCCCUUCCUCUUCCUCCCUCCAUCCCUCCUCUCUAAACCCCACAGACACAUUAAUCCUUCGCUCAGGCUCAGUUUACAGACACAAUAGGCCUGAAGAAUUGGACUUGAGAUAAUUGUGUUGCUAUCCCAUUUCAUCUGGAAUGGAAUUGGGUGGUGCUCACCACAAAGCUUGGAGUACCCUGCACACACACACACACACACACACACACACACACACACACAUAGGGACGGAGUAGAUUCUGGCGAGCACAGCGCUGUAAUUAUUUCCCCUCUAUUCAUAAUCAUCAUCAUGAAAAUUCACCACCACAGGCCCCGAGUCCACACUCCUGGCCCCGCCGUGUCUGUUUGAUGUGUUGUCAUGACGAUAUGGCGGCAAUAUGGUGCCUGCUCGGUGCCCGUGUUGUUGCAGGGGACUGUGGGUAAUUAACGGCCGUGACAAUAUGGCCAAACACCUGCUCUGGCAAGACCCCGUCGGUCAUCUGGGUUGGCAACCCCUCGACCUCCUGACAAACGCCAGGAGGGAGGAAACGCUCGGGUGGAAAGUCGUUAAAGUAGGAGGAUGGUGGUGUUGGAAGUGCGAGCAGGUGGAGGAAAGAUCGGCAAUCAUCCGACGAGUUUGCACAUGUCGUGGUUCUGAAAUCACAGCGAGUGAACGUGUCGAAAACAUCAGCUCAAGAAUCACUUUAAAUGUUAGUUUGUGGUUUGAACAGCCUGAUCGUCAUGACGCAGGAAUAACCUCCAUCAGGACGACAGGGCGGAGAGUUGGAAACAUGAACAGUCAACUUGAAACUAAAACACAAAAAACACCUAUUGUAUGUCCGAUUGUUUGGAUUGUGUUGUUGAAAACUCCAAAACAGCGACUUUUCAAUAAUCCACCUCAACCAUAACGGGACUUUUAGCUGUUAACGUUUCUGUGUAAAACAGCACAACAAAGAAGAACAUAGUUAUGAAAGGUGAACAGACCUAAAGAUCUGAUUAUUCUGAGUAUUUCCAUCAUCACUCCUCCUCAACAAUCCAAGUCCACAUGUAGGAUAUUCACAGGCUCAGGUAUGUCUCGAUUUUAACCGGUGUAGGUACCAGAUGUGUUCGGGCUGCCAGAUCGACUCGGGGCCUGGCGCCUAUUGAAGACGUCACACUAUGGCAAGUCCACUCGGACAAACUACGUUGCGCUCCAUUUAAUAAGUCAAAUGUGUUCAGUUUAAAGCCCCUCGCGGUUUUCUUUAUUUCUGUUUGUUUAUUCAAUUGAAAUUUUCUCUCCAUAUAAUACAAAGAAUAAUAACUUAGUGCAUUGUAAUUUUUAGAUGGCUUUAAUUUUAAAUGUGAACUUUUCUGAAGGAAAAACAAAAAAAUGUACUCAGGAUCUCCGUUUAUUAACAGACAGUUUUGCUUUUAUUCCACAUUUUCUUUGGCGACCUAAAAGAGGCGAGAAGAAGAGAAGAAGAGAAGAAGAAGUCCUGUUUGAUAAGUAGCGAUAGAUUUCUUCGUAAAAUUCGUCCAUGUUUUCUCUGAAGAACUACAAUCCCAUGAAACCUAAUCUGGCGAAAAUCGCUUCCGUAACCACAAAUAGCGUGACGUCAUCAAUAGGUUUCAGCCCGAACACAUCUGGACCGGACUACCGUCCUCGUCCCAGUUUACGAACGCCAGUAAAGACUCAAAUUACCAAAACAAGUUCUGUAUGUCCACCUCCGCUACAGUAGGUGGCGACAUUUCCAAUUUCAGCUCAUUAUGUAUCUAAACAACCCACAAAAUGUGUUAGCUAGUGGCUAACAGGAGGUAUAAAAACACAGUCGCUGCUGCAGUCUAACAUGAACUAACCUGGAAUUCUGGCUAAAUAACAAGGUGAUUAAGCCAGAAAUAUUAUUAACUAAAUGUGUAAAUUAAACAUUAAAUUUAAUUAAAAAAUUAAAAAUAAUGAGGGUGUUGGAAAUGAUGGUUGGGUGUGACUUUUAAACCAAAGCUAGCGUUGACAUUUUCAAAUCCAAACCUUGACUUUUCCUCGAAGUUCGUCUUUACUGUGUCUAAACCUGAACAAACUACAACCAGUUCAUAACGUUAACCAGGUUCGUAUCAUUGCUGCUCGUCCCAGAUCUGCUGUUUCUCAGUCAGAUGUUUCUAGAAGUCUAACCUGAUGAGGAAACAUGUUUAUUUCUGUCUUUAAGUUAAACUGUGAAUUUCUCUGUCGUCAUGACUCACCUUGGGUCAUUGUCUGGUGUUUUUUGUAUCGGUUGUAUCGCUGCAGCUUUGGUGGAUGUGAGAGUUUAUUCGGUCCUUUGUUCUGUCGGUCUUACAGUCAUCUUCAAAGAUGUUGUGAAACUCAACAACAAUGGUGGAAAGAUGUUUGGGAACUUUCAAAAUCCUCAGUCCUUUCAGAAACUCUCAAACGCUGUUAUUUUCAACACAGUUCAUCUUUUUGCUGAUGAGCCACAAGCAAACUUUGGGUUAUAAUAAACCCUUCGACACACACACACACACACACACACACACAGCUGUGCACACACAGCUCUUCCUCCCUGCCUACGCAUGCUUCACCUUUUGUCCCAUUAUCUUUUGUUCCGCGUUUGAUCUGCUGAUUACAUAAUUGCCAUUGUGUAAUCUUCUUUUUAUAAAACUGACCUGCAUAAUCAGCCUGUCUUAGACGCUGUUUCUCCCAGACCUGAUGAAGCAAAAGGAACAUUAUGUAACCGCUAUUUUCCGCCACGGGUCACUGAAAUUCACUCUGAUUAGACUUUUAAUAUUUACAGAAAAACAGACAAAAAGACUGCCAUGACAACAAAGUGAGGAGAUGAAACAUGCAGACGAUGCUUCUGGAUCAUUGGUUUUUCGUCUCUUAAUGAGCUCAAGUUUUAAUAAGUUGAAGAGUUUGAGUUUAGUCCUCAUGUCAUUCUCGGCAGCUCGGUCUGGACCGGAUGCUCCUGGUGAAAAAAUGACAAUGAUAAGUGACGUGGCGGAUUUGUGAAUGGAUUUGUGCAGAAUGCAGCUGCACCUCAUGGAAGCACGGUUCAUAAUUCAACAACACAGAAUGAGGCAUCAGUCUGCAGGACGCUCUGCCUACAUAGAAGCCUAUGCAUCUAAUGUAGGACUGCAUUCCUGUGAUUGGUCUGCUUGGUAGUUUGACGCUUAUCAGCCACGAAAUUCACCUCACAAACACAUCCGGUAGGAAUUGGCGGAUGGCAAAAAUCGCUGCUGUUCCAUAGCGUACUGUAACCCUUACAUUGGUGUCAGCUAUCAUGGCUCAGAUGGACCCAGUCUUAAGUCUGAAGUGCAACCAGAUGCUUCGAUUGGAGUUUACAGGGUUUGUUCUGAGUUCGUUCCAUUAGCACCUGGACCUUAAAGGGAAUGAGACACACUCUGAUCAGUCUGGACACACUAACCCUAAAAGACCUUUAAAUGAUCAAGAUGGUUAACACAACCUCUUUGCACCAUGAGCUUCAUGUUGUGCAAAAUGGUGCGCCGCUUAACUAGCAAAACAGGUUUCUUCAGAUGGAGACAGACAAAUCAGAUUUAAAAAAAAGACAUGAACUCCAGAAAAACUCUGUGAACAUGGUUCAAAAUUAAAGUUAACAUUAACAUCAGAAUCUGUUGAACUCCACAGAAGAUUAAAUUACAAACACAGUAUAUCUCUAAAGACACACAGACUAAGAAACUACAUUUUCAUCCUGAUCAUUUGUUUUAUAAAAAAAGAAAUAAUAAUUAAUAUGAAGAAAACCUUUAUUUCUAACCUACUGUUUCCAUUUAUUAUUCACAGUCUGAUAGUCUGAUCUUCUUUCUUACAACUGCAUGACACAACUUCAUGAUACUAUCAAAUUUUUUAUCUCUUCUUUGUUUUUUUACCUUUCUGAAUAUUUACUCAAAACUCUAAAGAGGCCAGACUGAGAGAAGUGUACCCCACCUUCCUUUACCUCUCUAUGGAGGACCGACACUUGAUAUAAGGAGGGUCAGUUUUGUGAGAAGCAAUGCUGGAAAUGAUAUUUUCAAAUGUUCCAAAUUAAAGAUUAAUGUGAAUGAAUCCUCAUGAAUCAGUCCAGUUAGAAAAUAAAUCACAUGUAUCUUUGCUCAGCUCCACAUUUUCUCUCACACUGAGUUAUUUUCCCUCUCUUUUAUCUCCUCCUUAAACUCUCUCUGUCCUCCUUUAUAUUCCUCACCCUCCGCUCUCUUUACUUCUCCUCUCUCUCUCCUCUUCUCCUCCACCUCAGCUCUCCCCCGUCCCCCUCCUGCAGCCCUUCCCCCUCCGCCCUGUAGGGGUCACUGUGGCUCUUCCCCAGCCCCCCGGCUCCCUCGGUGUGGCUGCAGCCCCUGUAGUGAAACGCCUCGCAGGCAUCAUUUUCUUGGUCAAAGUAUAAAAUGUUUUCUUGUGCAUAAUGGAAGCUGGAGAAUAUUAACGGGGCAAAUAUCUGAUUUCAUGCAAAAGAAAAUAUCUGAUGUACGCAGAGGAAUAUUAAACAUGUCUGCCGGUAUUGUAGUUUUUUGAGCGAAACAAAAAAGCUUUUCAAUCCCACAGAGAGAGCGAGAGAGAGAGAGAGAGAGAGAGAGAGAGAGAGAGAGAGAGAGAGAGAGAGAGGAGGGAGCAGGUAGCAGAGCAGAUACUCAGCAUGUUCAACCACGGCACAGUACAGACUCGCUGUUAAAGGGCCAGUUCACCCAAAUAUGAAGAACAAGAACACUCUGAGUGAGAGUAUGAGGCUUUGCAGAUGGGUUUAGCGUUUGGGUUGCACAAUACAACUCUAAUAUACUAACAUACGAGAAGCAAUGAAAAGCAGCCUGAUUUAAGAAGACGUCAGGAGUCGAAAGAAGAGAAAAAAUCAAUCCAACCACGUGUGCAAUAAACGAUGCAACGUGACAAAAACACGUCCAAACUCGACUGAAAGUGAAAUCCAAAUAAGCAACCACAAAAUCCGAACAUUGACUCAGGAGGUUUCUGUAAAUUCUGACUCCUCCUCGCAGCUCAAACACAUAAACGAUGUUUCUUCAGCUUUAAAAUGAGCCACAGGUGGAUGAUUUAUCGAAUCCAGACUUGGGCAUUUUACGGCCCUUUGGAUGUCCCUGCCCGGCCCUUUGUGAGGUCCGUCAAACAAAUCAUCAAGGUGCUAUAAAAGUGCGUUGCUUUUAUUUUGAAAACCUAGCCGUUAUUUUAUUUCUGUUUGGACGCACAUGCGUACAUCCUAGAUCUGCAUUUGUGAACAGAGAAAAGUUUAAACAUCGACAAAACACACGUGGACGCCUCAUAGUUGCUAAGUCCGCUUAUUAUAAACGACUCAAGGCUUGUUUCUCUUGUUUCUCUCAGAAGUUGCUUGUAAAACUCGUGAGUCGCGCUUUUUUGGGCUUGAUUUCAACACGUAGUUGCUCAUAUCGGCCUGUUUUCCUGUAUGUGUGAGCUCUGUAUGUCUGUUUAAUUUGAAUGAUGCUAAAUGAGUUUCUAGAAACAUAUAUUUGAAUGGAUAAUGUAUAAAUUUAGAGUUUAACUAGUAAUAUUGAUUAGGCAGGUUACCGAUAGAUAUGAUCAUAUUGAUUAUUUCAGUUUGUGUUUCUUUUUUUUACAUGUUUUAUUUUUGCACAAAAGUUAAAAAGUACAUUUUUAUGAAGUGUUAAGAUGAUAUGAGGGUACUGUUGAUUCGUAAGUACUUCAGAGGACAGAGGAGCUUUAAGAUUCAUUUAGAGGAGUAGUUAAUAUUUCUACAUGUGAGGCAUCUAUAUGUUUGUAUCGAGGUUGGAUGUUGACAAAGCUGCAGCAUCUGUAAGGUUGGAUAAACGUCUACGUUGUCUGAAGUAAAGUUUUUAUCUUGUGUUUUUGUGUUUUUAUCGUCUGUAAAGAACAGCUGUCGAUCCUUUUCUUCUCUAACCAGCAGGUUAAGAUGAUUGAGGGGUCAGCGGUCAACGCUGGUGUCAAAUAAUCAAUAAAAUAAGUGAUUGGGAAGCAUGUCAAACACGAGCGGCGUGUGUUAAUAUGCAAAACAGAUCAGACUGAGUGCACACUCUUUUUUAGGCUUGGAGAGACGCGGUUAAAGCGUUAGAAGACUGUUUAUUCUUGGUGGAAAUUCAGACAAACUCAGCUGCAGACUCACACAGUUUUACCAAACAGAAACAAAACUGAGGAAUUAGUCAGCAGUCGAUCCAGAAAGAGACAAAAACACAGGAGCGAGUGCGGUCAUGUCUUCCUGUUGUGAAAGCACAAAGCGGUUUCUGUCGAGGUGUUUGUGUUCACGUUCAUAAACCACACAGACUCUGUUUUUUUAUCUUAAUCUGCAGCAUGAUGGCAAUGACCGCACACGUCUGCUGCAGCUCUGGUUCGGUGUUGAACACGGAGUCCUGAUGCACAACAACUAAUAAUAAACAUUAGCGCUAAUGAUGCUAACAACAGAGCGCUCAUUAAAACCUGAUGUCAGCGUCCUGCAGAUGAAAGAGAACGAAGGCAGGAAAACACAAAAUGGGAGAUAUUUAUGGAGCCGCAGAAAAUGUCUUUUGUCUGGUGGAGCGAACACACACACACACACACACACACACACACACACACACACACACACACACAGAUCUCCAUUUAUCCAUCUUUGUAUUCUUCAAAAAGCAGAAGUCAAAUCCAGCAGCCUCUGACUCACUGUGAUAUAUUCUACUGUUACACUGCUUGGAAGUGUGUGUGUGUUUGAGUGAUUAUGUGUUUGUGUGUGUGCAUGUGUGUGUGCAUGUGUUCAGUCAUUGACUCACUCUCAUAUGAACCCUACGUAUAUGAAGAACAUGUAGGCUGCACAGUGUGUCAGUUGUCAAACAUUAAUGAGACCGUGUUCAGCAGACUGAAUGCAGACACCGCUGAUUUAUUCAUCCCCUCAAGUUCUUGUUUUUAGCGUCUUGAGGGCAAUCCACACCGCAGGCAUAUUGUUAAGUAUUUCUGUAACAUUACAGACGUCUCCAGGAACAUAUAUUUUUUUCCUGAUAAUGCCGACAGAAUCAGUCCUCGCCCUCUCGGAAACCUGCGAGUCUUUUUUUUUUCUUCCAGCCUCUCUUUGCUCACUGAAGUGUAGCUUCCUGUGCAGCCGUUGUGAACAUGUGAGGUAAAUCUAUAUUUAUGGAUCAAGGGCCUCAUAUAGGCUUACGGAGCUGCAGUGGAUUAGGAGAGUAAAAUAAAUGACUGUUUUUUUUUUUCCUGGAAAUUUCAGACGUCAGUCAGACGAGCGAGAACGCUCUGUGCAGGCGUUAAAAACGUAAAGCAGUUUGUCCAAAUAUAGAAUACAACCUUUUCUGUGACGGUGGAUCUAAUUUACUGUUUAUACCUAAACCUACACGAAGAAAUUCACUAUAACAUGCGCUUUGAUUUGAACCUUAUAUAGAGCAGCUUGUAGAAAAGGUUAAAGCUAACUCCCCACCAAAAUAAAAUAAUAAAAAUAGUAAUAAAGGAUUUAAUUUAAUACCAGCGAGACAUGUCUAAAAAGUUGGGACAGAGAGAAAAAAGAAAGGACGUAAAGAGACAGAAACUUUCAAUCGGAUUAACAGAUAGUACAGAGCUGUCCUGUCCUGCUAGCCUCUUGCUAAUCCAUUUUUCUGACUGUUAACCAAGAAACAACCAAGCUGACUGAGAGUUUGUCGCCACCUACUGUAGCGGAGGCAGACAUGCUUGUCAAAAGUUAAACUUUAGCCUGGAGCAGGUAAAUUAAGAAAAGGAUAAACGUUGAUUGAAAUAAUCUAAACGAGCGUGCAGUGAAGUGCAUCUUAACUUUGCGUAAAUGAUAUAGACAGAAAAGUUGUUCAGUGUUCUCAAAGUUCAUUUGUUGUACGAUAUUGUAAAAAGCCCAGUUACUGAGGCUGACUUGCAUCAGAAAGGUUGAGUUCUUUUGACGAAAUAGAGUUAAAACUUUUUCCACUUUGUAAAAAACUGCGUGAGCAAAUAGUUCAACAAUUUCGACCUUAUUACUCAGUGCUCGAUGCAGAAACGACUGCAGAUUACAGAAACUUCUUGAGUCCAUGUUCAGAUUUUGUGGUUACUUGCCGUAUUGUUCAUGUGUUGUUGUCAUGUUGCAUCGUUUAUUUCCCCUUUUCUCUGCUGAUCACGACUUAUUUAUGAAAAACCUGCCCGGAUCAGUAUGUGACCUCCUUUUUUUGUCGUCAUGUGCACGGUUUUAGCCUCACUGUAGCUAGUUUGUACCUUUCUGUCUUAAAGUGUCGGUGUGUCUUUGAAUCGAGUUCCCCAAAAACAGAGAUGUCUAAGAUUUCAUCUUCUGAAGUCCAUAAAAAUCUGAAAAAUCUCUGCAAAAAAGGAACAAGACCCAAAAUUUAUACAGCAAAAAAAAGACAUGACUCCGUGUUUCAGGAGGAUCAUAUUUCAACGCAUGGAAACGGGCGGAGACGAACAAGUGGAAGGUUUUUAGACGUCAUUUCACCCCGAUGACACCAUGGAUGAGGAGAUGCUGAUUCUAGAAGUCUAGAAGUAGAUUUCCUCCUCUGGAAGGACACAAUCUACUGCUUAUAUAGUUAGCCUCUGUGGCUAAAGACAACUCGUUUUCGCACGAUUGCACUUGAAUCUGCAGGUUCUUGUGAGUUCUCACGAUUCCUGCUGUAGGUAAUCUGCCACAGAAUUCGCCUCAUAAUCUGAUCCAGUAGGAAUUGGCGUAAAAAUCGUGGCCGUUCUGGAUCAGAGCCGUUCCGGAUGCGGUGGAAAUCCUGGGUUAGACCGAGACAGCCAAAAUCUCAGCAUAGAAGUUUACAGGAAACCCACAAAUACUGCGUCUGCGUCUGCAAAUUGAGCCAACGUAGAGUCCAAGUCUGAGUCGAGUCCAAGUCUGAGUCGAGUCCUUAUUGUUUGAGUAUAAAUACCAACUUUAACUGUACCUCACAAAAACCUGAAGCUUUUUCAGCAAGGUGUUUCGAGAUGUCACAAGACCUGCUGUGAAGUGAGUCGGUCCUCUCAACGAUCGGAGCAGAGCCGCGAGUGCACUUUGAAGAACACACCACAUCGGAGAGAGUGCAUUUUGGUUUUUGAAUUGGAAAAAGAAAGAAGUCUCUAAAAGGUUUUUUUUCUUCAAGCAAAGAAAAGCAUUUUUUAGUCAGAGUCUGAGAUUACAGUGUGUUGCAUAUCUGUCAAAAUCUGCAAAAGAAGGUGCAUAAUUUGUCUUAAAACAUCGGAGGAGUCACUUCAUGAAGGUACGUUGUUGAGAAUAGUCCAGGAUGUGGUAGAAUUUGAGUAAGAUGACUCCUCCACUCUCUUAUUCUCGCUCUCCUGAGCCGCCCUCUUCCUCUUGAGCUAAACAGAGCAUUGUGGGUAAAGACUGUGCAGGUGGCGGUGGAGCGUCCUCGAGAGGCCGAGCCGGCUGUUCGAGUCCCUGAUUACAUGUUAACACUAAUUAAAGGAAGGAGAGAAAGAGGAAGGACAAUCUGUACGGUAAUCAUUAGCAAAACGAUGGGACCAGACGACCACAUGACCCGUUUGGACUAAAGUAACCCCACUUCCUCCGUUAUAGGGGACGUGAACGCAACACGAAUUCACCCAAAAUACCACUCUUUACUACCAGCAGUUUGGAGUUGACUGAGGUGUAAACGUGCGAGAGAAAAUCCAUCCCCAUCAGCUUCAUCUUGAUAUUACAGUCGUUUCAAAACUAGAAAUCGACUUUGUGCCGUUUCAGCAGGACUACCGUGAUCGCAGGAAUUUUAGAAGUCCAUUUGAAGUCCUGGUUGACAAUCUGAGAAGCAGUUGAGGCAGAUUUGAAAAAAGCAUCCCACCCCCCACAUUCCACGAUAAACCCACCUCGAACCUGCAUCUCCCUCCCCACGACACACCCCCUCUGACAGAGCAAGAAGCCGGCCUGCAGAAGAUCCUACGCUAGCUUCAAACAGGAUUCACCAUGUCGGAUUGUUAGUGACUAGCGGCAGUAAACGCCAGCUCUGCUAGCGAGCGCCGUCUGCAGCUGCCUGGACAGCUACCGUGUUGACAUUGACUCCGCCCUUUCUUCUGUCAGCUUGCGUUUUCUUCCCACUUUUGGCGGUGGGGCGGGCAAAAGUGUUAGCUCCUGUAGCUAAGCUGCUAUGCUACUUUUAGCCGCUCAGAGCUCCGAGGAGGGCCGGGAGAGUGGGAGGGGACGAGUCGGAACUACGGGAGAGGGGUGUGUCAAAUACAGCGAGGUGAUUGGAUGGAGAGGCAGAGCAGGAGAUUGACCAAUAGGAGCUGUCCAGGAUGGAUGGCUCCCAUUGGUCAGUGUUUUUGCAGCCCUGCACCUGAUAGGAUGAACGGAUUUUUUCUGUUCUUUUUUCUGUUCACUUCGUGGAGAUCGCACUACAGGACCAUGAUCGCCAUAGAAACGAUUACCAAUCUCUCCAAUCAUCAACCACGCCUUUAAGUUCACCUAAUCAAAGGACUUGAUUUUAAAUUAAUGGUGCAGUGAAGGUUUUGUUUCAAGGUGGGACCAAGUACUUCAAACCAAGAGCCGAGGACCUGUUUCAGUUUGGUCAGUUGGGUCUGAAAUGAUGAAGAAAACAGUCUCUUUAAAUGGCGAUGAGGCGUUUUUCACUCCUUUAUAAACAAACAACCCCAACAGGAUAAUCACAUGAAAGAAAACCAGGACAACAUGAGGAGACUGAUGUGACAUUUACAGAGGCAGGUUUGGUGAGACCAUUACCAAAAUAGAAAACAGUACUUUUCUCUUUUCUUGGACAGGCUCUAAAUGCAAUCUCUGAAAUCAAACAUUUUUGAGAGGGACGGCGGUUGCAUCCGGAAUUUACGGUCACUCAGACAAAACCGGCUCAAAAAAUUGGACCACUUUUGAUGGGUCUAUUGAGAAUAAGGUCAGUCACUUUAAAACUGCGAAGACCUCUUCUCAGAAACAUUUGAGUAAAAUUACCAACAAAUGGUUUGACUUCAUGUUUCCAUCUUCAGAGAGCUGACUCAAGAAACCAUCGACGAUGAUGGGACGUGUUAGGAGUGGCGAUUUCUCGAAAGUAUCCGACUCCAAUGUCAUUUCUCAGGUUUUCGAGACUGUUUGUUUUAACCGAGUAAAAACAGCGUGAUUUCCAGAAGUAGAACAAGAGUAUGUUAAAUUUCAACAAGAGUCAAGUGAUCAUCCAGGUCAGAUCAUCUCUCUGUACAAACCGUCUCUGGGUUUAAUGCGAUCCAUCCUCGCACGGCCGCCUCUUCCUGCCUCUCUGACACGUCUGCUAAAAAGCAUGCACAGGCUGAAACAUUUCAGGGGUGGGGGGGGGGGUUUAUGUGAUUUCACAGGGUCUUUGUGCAUUCGCCCUCGCCAACGAAAGCCUCAAAAAACAGCUUUAAAAACGCAGCGCUGAGCUCCAAACGAGCUCCGAGUGGGAGGACGAGCAAGCAAAGGUGGGAAACAAUCCGCUUCCGCUCGGAGAAAUUACCACUUCACCGUGAAAACAUGCGGCUCUGGAGCCCAGUGCUGAUAAAAAAAAAAAAAGAAAUAAAUGAGAAGCAGCACUCCUCCUCCUCCUCCUCCUCCUCCUCCACCUCCUCUCCUGUUCAUUUACUCUCUCCAGGCGGAGAGUUUAUCAUCAGCCGUCCACAAAAACAUCAGUCAUGUUAAAGCGUGCUGGUAUUUCACCUUUAUGGCCGUAGCUGAGGUUCACUGUGAUAAAAAAAAAAGAGAAGAAAAAAGUGAAUUUUUCCAUUUGAUGUGUUUUUGUAGCCUGCAGCUGCUUUCAAGCCAAACACUUGAACAGGAAAUUAAAGCAAAUAUCAGCCCACGAAAAGGUCGAGGGACGUUAUAACGUAAGAGUUCAGAGUAAAUAAAGAGUUUUAAUUUCACCCUGAGCGCUGGAACGUCACAUCGCAUCGACGGUGUCAUCGUCAUCGACCGAAAUCUCUCCAAACGAAAUAUUCAGAUCAUAUUAACACAACAAUAGUGCAGGUUACAGCGAGUGAGCUUUAAAUGUUGGAGUCAGAAUCAGUGGGUGAAGUUGAUGCCGUGCCAGCUGGAGGUGAGGCUAAAAUACGCUUCAUCAUCCAUAAUGUAACAGUUCGCACUAAGCGUAGAUGUAUCAGGUUAGGUGAGAGUCGACGAAUCGCUCUGUAGUGCUGCUGUCUUAUUAUUGAGCUCAACCAGCAGAUCUGGUCUGUGGACUCCUCGGCUGGACCUCCCCCUCAAAUGUAGGAACACCAAAUCCAUCGACGUUAAACACACUGGAUUUACGCCUAAGGACUUCAGAUUUGGAGCAGCUAUUGUCAGACUUCGAGGCCCCAGAGCUCGCCACAUGUCCACGACACAAACAGUCCAAAAGUCCCAGACCUGAUCCUUUUGGUGCAGUUUACGUCACUAAAGGAUUUCAAUUUUAGGAUCACAAAGACCAACGAAAAAGACUGAUUGACAUGGGCAGGACAUACAUGAACGGUGGGAGUAGUGAAGAUACACAACAGUGGAAACUAUAACUAUAACCUCUCAUGUGUCUUUUUCACUUCCCUCGAUUCUAGACGGUAAUGUCACAUAAAUUUGGUUUUGUAAAGUCAAGUUUAUUCAAAUACAAAAAGUCAAUCAUAGUUGAAGUUGAUGCAGUUUAGAGACUAAUGAAAUAAUAAAAACCUGAUUUGAUCUGCUCUUUUCCAACCGUCUUUCUGUGCAGUGGGAUCUAGAUCUUCUUUACCUCCUGCUGACAACGCCAAAACUCUUCCGAGCUGAACAGGUCACAUUAGUUAUUUCCACUUUUAAUGGAGACGUCUGAACAAACUGUCUGAAAAACCACAAGUUUUUAAUCCCUGGACUGUUUUAAACCUGGGAAACUGAGCUGGUCACACAUCUGUGAUUCUGUUAUCUAAUUAGGACGAUCGUUAAAUUAACUUUCUGUGUUUUUCAGAGUUUCACCGUGGUUACAGGAGAAUUUGUGAAAAGUUAGUUCUGUCAGUUUGUCGUUGACUGACUCACAGUCCAGUUGUAUCUGACUUUUUUAACAGAUUUUAACACAAGAUAAACUGUUGGCAAAAGUCGAGGUCUUUGUUGUCGCAGUAAGACUUCUUCUGGACCCGCCUCUUGAGCCCACGGUGGUGAAAUAUUCGGAGUCAGUCGGUCUGGAGCGUUUCAUGACACACUGAUGAGUUUCGAGGUCUCUAAGCGACUCCUAAACCUGAUCAUUAUGGCUCUCUUUAGGUCCGGGUCUGGUUCAACACCAAUUGGAGGUUUUUCCCACUCCACCCACUCCUCAGAGCUUCGUCUUUCUACGCCUCCAAACUGAGCGAACUGUUUGCUGAAUUGUCAUCAUGAGAAUUUCCCGACUCUAAUCUGUUUUUUAAUGACCGAUCAUUCACGCCAUUCUUAAAUAAGGAGAUCAGACCUGACGUCUUUUCGGUAUUCGGUAUCAGUUUUAUCCCGAACCCUGAACCUAAAACAGGAACUUUCUCACACAUUUGGCUUUUAAACAGACCCAGAAGACCUCUGUUAACCUCAGUCCUGCUAAAUAUCAGAGCAUCAACCUGCCCAGGUGAGAUCUACGGUUAUGUAAUAUUUCAGAUCUCUAUCACAGCUGUUUUUUUUUGUGCUUUUUGAAGACUUGGAUAAAGACGCCGGCCCUGGUAUUCCCUGUAUUCAUAGAUUAGAUUUAUGUUCCCAGUGGCUGAAACUCUGACAUCCUUUUCUGGAUGAAUCCAUGAAAACAUUUCCAAGCUAAUCAUGAGCUCGGCCGGUCCAUCGAGUGUUGUCACACUGCGAGCUAUUGAGCCUUCAACCCUUUUAACACCCGAGCUGAAAGAAAACCAGGGGUGGGGAUCAAACCUGCGGCCUGCUGGGUUCAGACACUCUUCCUCUCCCUGAGCCUGAACAUUUAUGAACAUCAGAGGAGCCCUCAUCGACCCCGGAGGAGGAGGCUGGAAAUGAGUCAAAGAAGACAGAGAAGGGAGGACGGAGCGCAGGAGGGUCUCGAACAGGGCGUGACGAACACAGAGGCAGAGGAAAGCAGUCAGUCAGUUAAUAAACAGGCAGGAAACCGUCGUGUCGGGCUUUUAAUCGGUCAGUCAGUGAAGCAGAGGAUCGAUGGAGCAGUCGCUCUGUUGCUGACUGGUUACUGACUGGAUGUUGUGAAGCUCAGCAGGUCGAUCUCUGCAAUCGAUGCCGAAAACAAGCAGAGACACAACCUGCUGUGUGCGAGUCUGUGUCUGUGUGUGUGUGUGUGUGUGUGUGUAGGAGAAAAGCUUUUUGUCUUUGAACACCAAACAAACUAAACUGCACACACAGGUACAAGGAAAGGAUUGUCUCUGGAAACUAUUUCAUAAAAUACAGUUUAUGGAUCAUUUCUGGUGUUGGUCUGCAGCGCUGAGAACCGUCUAUAACCACAGCCUGCCGAGAAAAAAACAACAAAUUAAAAUAAAAAGUGCCUCUUCAACCAGAAGGUAAGAACCAGCAAAACAACAAAGACUGAAUCAUUUUAAAGAAGUUCAGACCGCACCUUUUGGACAGUAGUGUCUUAAUCCAUCACACAGCUCAUCCCUUUAAGGGUUUUCUCCAUUUUUUCUCUAUAGUGAUGUAAAUUUUGACCUCUUAAGUUUAAAAAAGGAAGUGUGAGACUGGAAGACCAACCUGGGCUGAGUCCAAAACCAGUCGCUCACUUUAUAGUGUCAAUCAGACCGUUAGAGUCCAGAACUGAGUCCAGAAUCUGGACUUUGGUGUUUUUAGUUUGAGGUCGGACAGAAAUCUUAACUUUUCUGGCUUAUGCAGAUGUAGCUAGAUGUGUCGUAUCGAGCUUUCGGAACAGCAGUGUUAGCUACGAUGAUGGUUGGGCUUCUGGAUGUUCUGCUAACGUAACAUCACAGCAGUCUGAAACGAUCAAAGAGAUGAAGGUGAGGUGUCUCAUCCUUAUGAACAGUUUCGUGCCUCAGAGAAAUCUUACACCGGCUACACUCACAAUAAGCGUGCGUAAUGUUGUGUUGACUUUAGAUGCUUUUAAAUGAUCAACCUGUGUAAUUUGUGGGUAUUCGAACACCUGGAUGUUCUGUGUGUAUUUGUAAAGACUUAUUGCUCCGUUUCUGCGCCACAAUCCAGCCGACGGGAGUUUCCAAACAUGGAAAUUAAUGCAACAAAGUUCAGGGUCUUCACGCCAUUUCAGUCUGUUUACAUCAAACAUGGUCGAGGUCUCUUCGCCUCGAGGAUUUGUUGUGUUUUCAAAUUUUUUACGAAAUAACCGAACCUCCUCGCUUACUCUUUUCCCCUAACUCCUGUUUCUACGAUAAAUACACGUUAAAACGUACAGUUCAGUCAGCGUAGAAGAUUUGCUUGCUCUAUUCCCAUGUCAGAAUCGAGUCGACGGGAGUUCCCAAACACUUGAAUUCAUGUAAGAAAGUUUGGGGUCUCUUCACGCCAUUUCAGUCUGUUUACAUCGAACAUGGUCGAGGUCUCUUCGCCGUGAGGAUUUGUUGUGUUUUCACUUUUUUUUACGAAUUAAUCAAACCUCCUCGCACACUUUUUUUCCUGACUCCAGUUUCUAUGAUAAAAACAAGUAAAAUGUAAAGUUUAGUUCGCCGUGCAGCAUCAGCAUCAGUUUGUCCUCCAUUUUUCAGAUGAAUGGACCUCCACCAAGUAUCUCAAUAUUUAUUAACAACCAUCGCAUGUUUGAUUAGCUUCAGUUCAGGUUUAUAAACUCACAAAAUCCUGAUUCAAAUGAGCGAGGAACUUUACGAUCAAACUCUCUCCAAAGUAAGCGGAGAAACUUUCAGUGUGAGUCCUGUUUGACACUGAAAUAUUAUUUUUAAUCUCGAUUAUCCAAACAGUUUUUACCAAAAUACCCUCAGAGAAAAGGAGAUCCUAAGUGCUCGCUUUGAUUGGUUGAUUUCAUGACCACCCCUCAACACUCCGCGUCUAAAAAAUUAAUGAAUUCAAUUCAGAGCGAAAACAAACAAGAGGGCCGACCUCGGAGUCCUCGGGGGGCGCCGGAGAAGUAAAUAAAUGUGCCAGUUAACAAAAAGAGGCCUGGUGCUCUUCAGUCUGACAAAGAAAGGCAGAAGGUUUGUGAAGCUCGUCUGCACUCAGUUUGCCAACAGUGAAGUGUUGUCUCUUUUCCCUCUCCAGCCUUCAUCAUCCUCUCCCCAUUCAGCACCACACCUCGCUGUGAGGAGACUCAUUCCCCUCGUCCCCCGCUGCCUGCAAAAAUUGGCCCAGGGGACUAACAGAGGAGGAGGAGGAGGAGGAGGUGCGUAGGAGAGAGUGGAGAAGAGCUUUUGACACACAAAGAUCCAGUUCAGAAGAAACCGUCCUCUGGAGGAGAGUCAGAGCGUCCGCUGGUUUCACGUCUGUUAUCCUGAUGAUGAAUGUCGCCCCGUGACGUCUACGAUAAAGACUCUGUGAAACACAUUCAUCCACAUAAAACACCGAACAGAAAAACCUUUACUAUGACGAGUCCCUCUGGACGAAGUCGUGACACGAUCAAAAUAAACAUGAAGUCGUGUUCCUCUUUCAUUGAGUUUAUUAGGAUUAGGAUUAGGAUUAUCUGUAUUUCUCAGCCAAGUAUUUCUCUCACAACUGGGAUUACAGUUUAUAUCUAGGGUGACCAAAUUCUGAAUCCCCCAAAAGAGGGCGAGAUUACGUGGGGGCAGAGUCUCAGGGUCAUGCGUUGUAAACUUUGAGAGUUUUUUAGGUCAGGUCGAGUGUUUUUUUUAUGUGCUUCUAACUCAAAACUUCUGGACAUACCCGGGUAAAAGAGGACGUACGGUCACCCUAAUAUAUCCCGCCUGGCCUGGAAACACCUCGGGAUCCUGGAGGAGGACCUGGAAAGUGUUGCCGGGGCAACAGGUCUGGAUCAACUUACUUAGAAGAAAAUGGAUAAACGUCAACAUCAGUCAGUUUUAGUGAUGGGAACUACGGCUCUUUUUAGAUCAUUCGGCUCAGCUCACCAAGAAGAAUCGUCUCUUUCGGCUCCCAAACGGCUCUUCAUUUUAUCACUUAUACGUUUUCUAAUCCAGUAUAAUCUAGCGUUGUUUGGCCUCUCAUAUGUACGUAUGUGUUACAUCCUUUGUACUGAAGUAUUCACAAUGAAAAUGACAUUUGCUAAUAUCAGUAAAUUGCUGAAGCCAAAUGUUUUCAUUGUAUUUACAGACCCUUGUAACUCUGAAUCCACCCAAUGAAUACACCGACUUGCUCGUAGAACCAUUCAGCUACAUAAAGCAGAUAGAAAUCCCGUCAUUCUGAGAGAAAUAAAAAGAUAGAAAUCCCGUCAUUCACGUUAAAGAGCUGGCUCUUUGAACCGGUUCGUUUGCGACCGACACAUCACUAAUCAGUACGUUGUUUCGUCUUUGCAGUCGUUAAAGUACGAACAAUUCAAACUUCACCAUCUUGAGCUCCACAUGGUUCACAAAUGUGAUGACAGCAUCAAAUCGAAGUGUAAAGUCCAUCUGUGUCAUACACCAUUUCUGAUUUGCGUUGCUUUUAAAGUUGCAUAGUGUAUCUUUAAGUUUUUGCUAUUUUUAAUAUCACUAAAGCUGUUAUCCUCUCUUCCCUUUAAUCAGACUACUUUAAUGUACUAAAUGGAAAAAAAAAAAACAAUAAUCUGUUUUCUAAAAUGAUUUAUUUCCUUCUGGGCAGAGGACUAUUUUCACUAAACUCUGACCAUCUGCUGAAUGAAAAAUCCUCUUCAGAAAGCAGGACAUGGAGCGCUGAUCACUUCCAGUCGAUUUAAAUAUUAUCACAGCAGACGUUCAGUCACUCUAAACAUUAAAUAAACGUAACUGGAAAGGAUAUCAUCAGGUUUCUGUGUCAUUUUACCUGCGAUCACUUGAAUUCCUCCCACAAAUACAGCUUUACAUGUCUGUUAAACAACAACACACCAACCUGGCAGCUCUGUAAAUGACUGACCAGCGGGCGAGGAAAUCGAUCCGGAGAUCUAAGGUGGUGCGGUCCACGUGAGCAACUUCAACCGGAGCCAAUCUGAGACACUUAGGAAACACAGUCAGAGAGAGAGAGAAAACACAGAGACACUCCAAUCUACUCUGCUGCGCUCGGUCGCCCGAUUGAUCAAUGACUCAGAACUGAUCAGAGGAAACUCGCCCUAUUGGACUGAUCUCCACUGAAUCAAAGUUCUCGCUUGGACGUGGGUCGGGACCCUCACAGGGGUGUCUCAGCGUGAGCCAGCACCAACACACAAACAUAAACACACACUCCUCUUCCUCAGGGGGAUGAAAAAUAUCCCACGUCAGCCGGUGGAGAAGGCUGAGCUGGAAGACCAGGAUCCAGGGUCAGGAGAGGUGAACGCUGAUCUCUGUCUCAGCUCAAUCCAGAGGGAUAGACCAGGUACCGGAAACCGGGGCUCUGUUUCUGUGUUUGGAGUGGAUUCAAAGUCCUGUAACUACGCCAAAGUCUGUCCAUGAAAGUUCUUCUUCCUGUCAGGGACAGAUUCAGAUUAUUGUUCUUUAGUGUCUGAAAACUUUAGACGCAGGAUCAUCACAGAGACGAACCUUCAAGUCAGGGAGCGUAGAGUUUUAUCCACAUCAGAAAUAAGUGUUUCUGAGACAGGCACAUUUUCUACACAGUUAAUAGAAACUUCUGUCACUGGUUUUUACCUGUUAUUCUUUGAAUUUUUAUUCUCAAGACUUAUCAGGACCAUAAAUGAUGCUUUAAGUUUCUAAUGAUCAGGGAGCAGGUCUCAGGAUUUCGCUCCAGAGUGUCUUGUUUCUUUAGUAAAGUUUAAACAGGUGUCCCAAUGGAAUUACUAACCCUAAAAAACUCUUUGUUUACUUUUUAAAUGAGGCUCUAUGUAAACUGACCCAGAUUUGACGAUGGCCUCAAGUGGACACUUAAGGGAACUGCAGCUUUUGGGACUUAAAUAUGACUAGGCCUGGAGUUUGAAGUUUUUUUCUUAAGUUACACAAUUAUUAUUAUUAUUAUUAUUAUUAUUAUUAUUAUUAUUAUUUUUAUUUUUUUACUAUUAUUACCAUUUUACCAUUUUUACCACUAUUUUAAGUAUUCUUAUUGCUAUUAUAUUAUUUUAUUACUACUAUUAUUAUUGUUAUUUAUAUUUUUUAUUUUUUUACUAUUAUUACUAUUUUACUGCUAUUAUUUUUAUUCCAAUUUUUAUUUUUGUAACUAUUAUUAUUAUUAUUAUUAUUAUUAUUAUUUGUUUUAAUUUUUAUAUUUAUUUAUAUUUUAUUUUUUUGUAUUAUUAUUGCUUCUUUUUUCUUCUUCCCACUUUAGUUGUGGGGCAAUUAAGUUCAGAAAUUGCUCUUUUUUUUUCUUUAAACCAUGUUAUUUUAUUUCCUAAAGUGUCCGAAGACUUCAGUUUGACAGUACCGGAGUGUUGGCCCUGAAAAACAGUGUCAAAGUGUCUUGUUCUCAACAUUAAGACCUUCUUCUGUUUGGAUCCUGUAUGUAAAUCUGUGUGAGUCUUUGUUUAUGACACAUGCACAUGUCCUCUGUCAGCUGUUUGUAUGUUACCACACUGUCGGAGACAUCGACUCUGCGUUAGUUGCGUUAACUGUCAGCUCCGGCUGAAGUUUUCAGACUUUCCUGCUGAUGAGUCGGCGUUGUUUUGUUUGUGCUUGUGAUUGACAGAGGGUAAAAAACUGCUGUAAGAGCAGGAAAUAAAGUCCUCUAACAUCAUUUUAGUCUGUCUGACUUCUAACGUGCAGAACUGAAUAUGCCUGAGAGGUUUUAAAAACGUCCCCCUCGACCUCCGAGCAGGUAAAAACUGAAAACUGAAACAUAGAAAAUGACGCCGGGAGUGUCUGUUUAAUUGGCUGCGGAUCACAGAUCUGCAAUCACCAUCCAUCUGCUCCAUCUGAUCUCUGUUCACUUCAAGCACACACACACACACACACACACACACACACACACACACACACACACACACUCUCUGUUGGAGUUCAUUAAAAUAUUUUGAGGGUUUCGUGGUCACACAUUAACAACACAAUGCAUCUGUGUAAGUCAGGACUUAACCAUCCUCCUUAUUAAGUCGCACACUGAAGAGAUGACACACACACACACACACACACACACACACACACACACACACACACACACACACACACACACACCAGGUGUUCAGAGUAAAAAACACUGCAGCCUCUAUUUCUUCCUGCAGUUUGAACCUACAGCAACUAUCAGUGUUUUUAAAGUGAUUCUGAGUCCAUGCGGUGAUUUCCACUAUAGAGUCACGUCUGUUUUAAUGCAGCGUUACCUGAGGUCCAGCAGAUCACCUGUCCAGUAUCAGUUAAAUAAUGAAAUCCUCACAUUUUCUGUCAUUUCAGACUCAGGGAUGUUAUCUUUGACAGAUUCGUCUCUCUCUCUGGACGCCAUUUUUCUAACCUCUUACAAAUUAACCUCAUAAGUCAGGAGUUGUGCAUCAGUUUACCAAAUCAACAACGAUAAAUAUCAGUUUUAACAUUCAAUAUGGCGUCUUUUCACCAUUUUCAGUCAUUUUCACUCAAAGGAUUUCAGGACGAUCAGAUUCAUCCUGGUGAAAAGACAGUAAAAUAACGUCCGAGUCGACGGUGGAUUAGAGUCUGUAAAAAUAAAGAAAUACUGGAUGAAGUUUGUUCCAGAGAGUCAGACUGCAGACUUUGCUUACCUUGAGUACAGCUGGUAUGUACAGGAUGAAGAUGAGAACAGCUGCUCUGUAAAUGCAGCUCUCUGUUUUCCUGUCUGGUCUCUGAUGCGUCUGAUAAACUUGUCCAUCCUCCAUUUCUGUGAAGAAGUUGGAGUUUGAUAUUCUGCGGUCGCCUCUCUGUGUGGAUUCAGUUUUAAAGUCACAUGUUUCACUUCCUCUUUGUCUCCUUUAUCUCCUCCACGUUGAGGAUUUGUCCGUCUAAAUCCUCGGACCGCUCCGACUCUCUUUCAGCUCCCCCCCUCUCCUCUUUAUCCCAUCCCCAAUCUUCCUGAUAUCUCCCCCGCUCUGACCUCUGACCUUUAACCUCGCACCGUACGCUGUGAAACUUCUCUCAGUCUAGACAGAGAAUCACAGCGACUAUCAAGUUCUCUCCGACUAAAUCUUUUUCAGCUCCUCUGAGAAACAGAGGCGAAGAAGUCGGACGAGACGGAGCCGAAAGAGUCAGAGUUUUCCUUUUUUUUUUUAACAUUGAAAUUCUCAGACUGAGAAAAAGCUCUUCAAAGUGUUCACAACAACCCUAUCAUCACUUCAGAGGAGGAGAAGAAGAAUCUCCAUCUCAAGCAGGCGUUUGCUCAGGCUGAUAACUUCGAUCUGACAGUGUUUUCUUAAAACAAGAGGGAAAAUAAAAGCGGCGCGUUGGGAGAUUGUUUCACUUCUUUCCAAUGCAAAUCCACUCUUUUCAAAUAUUUCUGAGGAUAAUGAGUCAUUAUCUCAUUUCCUCUGUUCAUUUUGUUUCCAGCUUUAAUAUUGUGACAUUUAAUUCUUGCAAAGUCUUAAAGCAGCAUCAGAUAAAAGCAGAUUUAUCUCGUACACUGGCUGUGUUUUCUUAUUUUAAUCUUUUGAGCCUCGGUUUUUCCCCCUCGGGUUUCACUUUGAGCGUCUGAAAAAUUCACAAGAAGCAUCGUCUGAAAGUGUCACGUUUUAUCUCGAUCUGUUUGUUCCAUUUUUCUUCCUGUCGUUAUUUCGUGGCAUCAUUAUGUAUAUUUUUCAGUUUCUAACUUUUCUUUACUCGUGUGUGUGUGUGUGUGCAAACUGAACAGCUCAGAGAAAACAGAGGAGGGUGUUGAUGACAAAUGUGUGUCAGACACAGUUCAUGGUUUGGUUUGGAGAGAAUCUGAAUUUCUUGCAGAAAACUCACAGUCUUUCUGGAUCCAUUUAGGCCGAAGUUGAGUUCAUGAGGAGAUGAUCAUCGACUGGAGCUUGUCUGAAUGAGACAAUCGAAUCCCAACACGUUAUCCAGGUGUGUCAGUCCAACUAUGAACAGGUCAGUCUUAGGUCCGGAUGUGCAGAUCCUGACGGUUUCAGGUGAAGAGGAGGACGGCAGCCCUGCAGCAGCAGCAGACGGUCAAAGUUCUGCAGGUACUUUGACUUGAUUUGAUGCACAAUGAAGAUGUUCUCAAUAUCAAACAGAAUAAUUGGCUGUAACAGAGUCCUGUGGCUGGUUUGCUUUGGUGUCACUCUCAAACUAACAUCAUAGACUCAGCUUCACCAAGAGUCCCUUGGUGUGUUGGGUGAUUUUGGGGUCUCUACAGUAUGACAGUGGAGUUAUUGACUUUUGUUUGCAGCGUCUUGCUCUUUUAGCGUAAUUUGCAGAAUGGCUUGUUCUUGUAAUUCUUGGGAUUCUUGUAGCUGGUAGUCUGCACUAUUACGAUAUGAAAGAGGCAUCAUUUGUGUUUAGACAACGUUUUGUCUUAGAGUUGUUGAUCCUGGAAGUCCGAAUCUGUGAAAAUCUUUCUAGCUUUACCGCUUUUACCACUGCUGUCAUUUAUAAGCUUUCCGGUGCACGACACACAAAAAUGAGCACCUGGCUCUUUCAGUUUUCAGCGCUAGCUACCGUAAGGCUUUCCAUCUUUUUCAGCCUCCUCCACCGAAGCCCAGCUUCCAAUAUCGCCGUUUCUUCUCAAGCAUUGAUGUACCUGACAUCCAUCGUUUCAAAUUUUCCAUUCGCUACUCACUAAUGUGUCUUUUUCUUCUUCUUCGUCUUCUCCAGCAGGAUGUAUGCUAUCCAGCGUAAUGCUGUCCUCUACUGGUCAUAUUCAGAUCUAACUGACUAGGGUUUUUUUUUUUUUUUUGACAUUUUUUUAGGGAAAAAAUCCCAAGCCGGAUAUUUGGCACCGUGCCGAAGGUCUUCAAGCCCUGCCCUUGUGACUCUGUUCUUGCAGUCUACAGAAACAGACUUCUGUGCUGCAACUGCCGUGUCUUGCUCACACCUUCGCCAUUUAGAAGGGAGAAAAAUCGCAUCUGAGUGGAAAUUUUUGGGGGGGGCAGAACAAACAUCUUGGGAGGGGUCACCAACCGGGAGGGGAUGAGUUAUCGCCAUCGAUGAGGUCAUGGAUGGCGAGAGUUUCAAUCCGCCCGUCUAGGCAGACAUUUUCUGAAAGUUGGAACAAGCAAGAAAAAAAGAGGAUCGAAUUUUCUGAUUUAUGGGGCGGUUUGUAGACAUGCAGGGGAUGCAGGAUACUGUUAGAAAACCAAGUGAAUUUUGUAUAAUAUGGGCCCUUAAACACAGAAACACCUCCUCCACAGCCAGUUUUAGUUCACUUAAUAAGUCAGAUAUCCUACAAGCAUCAAAAACCCGAGACAAAUAGGAAGUGGAAUUUGUUUGGAGCUUCCUCACAGUUGGAUCUGACUCACCUGUCCAAUCAGAAAACCUUCAUGUGGCUCAAUUCUUACAGCGAAUCAAAAACAACCUGUUUUAUUAUUAUUAUUUUUACAGUCUUACCUGAAUGUUAAAUUGGCUCUGAACUAUUCAAACCAAAAAAAACUGAAGUCACAUCGGAGGAUUCACACUCGGAUUUCUUCCAAUCGUUGGUGUGUUGAAGGAAUUUCACAUCUUAUUUGAAAUAAUCCCAACCUGUAUGAGCAGCGGCCCAGUAAUCCAGUAAACUCUCCAUCCACACACACACACACACACACACACACACACACCACCUCCACCCGAAUCUCCUCUCACACCAACACACACACUCAUACACACACCCAUAAUAACACACCAGCAUUGCUAAGCCUGGCCGUGAAAUGGGAUUCUCAGGGAUGAGAGCUGCUCUUUGUGAUCACAGAGGGGGAUCUGCCACACACACACACACACACACACACACACACACACACACACACACACACUGGUUCUGUGUGAGUGUGCGUGUGUGUCUCUUUAUGUUGAGAAACACACAAACAAACACACACACACACACACACACAUCCGAAAAAUGAGACAAACACUUCUUUUUUCUCUGAAGGCUCUCUGGAAUGGAUGUUGUGGGACUCUACUGUUUCUAUGGCAACUGCAGCCCAUUUACUCCCCAUGGUUUGAAUGUGUGUGUGAGUGUGUGUGCGCUCUUGCACUGCGCGCGCACAUGCCCUCAACACUGUGAUUUAUUCAGACACACAUUCUUCAUACAUAUGCUUCUUUUCUGUUUGAAUGCAUAUUAUUUUUGUCCGUGUGUGUGUGUGUGUGUGUGUGUGUGUGUGUGUGUGUGUGUGUGUGUGUGUGUGUGUGUGUGUGUGUGUGUCAGCAGCAGCUGACCCGCUCUGAUGGAUGGGAGUCACGGUGUCGCCGGUGGCUGAUGAUCAGAAACAAGCAGAGCCAGCAUGGCGGCAUCUGCUGUCCCCCGUCUCUCUUUCUCUGGAGGAACAAAUGUAAACAAACGUGUUUCUGAUCUGAACGUUUAGAUGCAGCGGACGAAUCUGUACAUGUGCAUGACUCAGGAAUUAGCAGCAGAGAUGAUUUGGAAAUUAGCAAAUUGGCCUGGAUUAGAAUCUGAAGUCUCGUCAUGGUCAAGAAGUGUGCAACAGGAGGAGGAAGGAGGCGAUAAAACUGACUAACGACAGCAAAACUAAACGCUCUGUUUCUUUAACACACUGUUCAAACUAUUAGACAGCUACAGGAGGAGGAGAGAGGAGGAGCAGGAGGAGGCAGGUGUAUCUGUGUGCAUCUGUGUGCCUGAAAAGCCAAGGGACAGGUUGAACACAGCAAAGAAGAGGCUGUACCGAUCAUGAGUGUACCCACGAGCUCAUGAGUUAACAACAGGAUGACCAUAUCCUGAAUCCUCAAAAAGAGACGACUACACGAAGGGCCGAGUCACAGAGUCACGUGUAGUUAAUUUGAAGAGUUUUUCGGGUCAGAGCGAGUGUCUUUUAAGCGUUUCUAACUCACUAAGUCAACGCGACACAAACUCAAAACCCCGAACACUUAAAGGAUUUUAUUAACUCCAGAGCCAGACAGGCCCAAAAUAAGAGGACGUACGGUCACCCGAGUUAACAAAAAAGUGGAGACACCUUUCUGAGUCUAAAUAAAACAAACUUCAGUUUUAAGGUCCUUACAUACCAGGAAUGACGCAAAUAUAUCAAACACAUCAACUGUGAUGCGAUUUUGCGAGUUUCUGGGGGAAAAAGACGCGUCCCGGGUGGAAGUGAGAAGACUGACACAACAGCAGACUGAGUGUUUUUCAGUUCUGAUCAGACUCUAGUGUUGAGACGUCUGUCUGUCAUGAUAGCAUGUACUGAGUCGGUGCCAGUACCAGAUAAGAACAUUAAACUAUAAUCCAUAAAGGUAAGGUAACAACUGAGACCUAAUGGUGCUGUGACAGAAAAUACAUAUGGUAUGUUGUAUCUGAACAGGUUAGCUUACGAGCUAAAGUUACGUUAGCACAGAUGAAAGUUCAAACAAAGACGUUUAUCAAACUGUUAAAGCUCACAAACCAUCGUCAGAUGAGAAAUCCGACGCUAUGACUCUCCACAAGUCGUCCUUCAGGUCGUUAUCUUUGUAAUGUUUGUGUUUUUUAUCAAAUAGCACUUCGUUCUCCGACACGUAAACAAUCAGCCGGUCGGCCAUGUUGGAUAUACCGGUGAAUCGGACGUCGCAACAACAUGAAAUCUGAUUGGUCAGAAGUGGACACACAAUGUGCGACACUUUAGAAAAAUCGACCGUGAUCCAAAAAAAUAAAUGCCUCAAUAUCGCACGACAGGAAAACGUGGCUGAUGUGAACGCUUGAAUUGACAGGAUACGGGUUUGAAAACAAAAUAGACGUCUGAAAUAAUCGCAUGAAAAAAACGCUCCCGAUGUGUAAGGACCUUUAGUCAUCAGGAUGGUGUUGGUGAGUUUUAUUAAUGGCAUCAAAUGUGUAAAAGACUUAAAAAAACACGUACACUGACUUUAAUUCACCCUCUCACAGAGUUCUCUUUUUGUACGUCACAAACUUCUAAAGUGGAAAGUGGCGCCGACGAAAUCAUGUUGCGGCUUUCAUAAAACACGAUUCACUGAGUAAAUUCACUGAAAUACUUUCCACAGGUGCUAAAAAGUAAAUGUUUUUUUGAGGUAUUUGAUGAAAAAUUCUUGAUUAAUGAUUCCCGCCGCACUAAAUUCGACCCUCAGGUUUUCAGUAUCGAAGCUCACAAGGAUUUUUUCCUUUGGAUGUCUACUGAAGGUUUCAACCUCCUUCUGUUAAUGUCCGGGUGAUUCAUGUCCAUUAGACUCCUAACGCGUCGUAUUUAUGAAUUCAAUUAGCCAAGGGCUCAAAAUAUCCCCUGUGCGUCACUACCUCCCAAAACAACUUAUCUGUAAAAGGAUAUUGAUUAGAAGAAAAACAGACUUACUGUAUCCUCCGCUGGUUUUUUUUCAUCACGAGCUGUUUCACGACAAAGUCCGACAUCUUUACCGAACACGAGAGAGAGAGAGAAAGAGAGAGAGGAGCUGCGGUUUUCUCUCUCUGCUCCUUUCUUUUCUUUAGCUUGUGGCUUUUGUGGCUGAGAAGGUCAACAGAUGAUAAACUCUUCUAAAACACUGGAACACACAAAGUCCUUCCACCUCCAAUAUCUUUAAAGUGGAUCGCCUUCAAAUUAGAGGGUGGAGGAAAUGUCACAGCGCGCACACACUCUCUCUGUCUCUCGGGCGGCUCUUGUGUGGUUUAUAGUGCACUACUUCAAAGGUUAUUCUCUGACCUUAUUCAGGCUCAUAUCUAAGGAAAUAAAAUAGACGGCAACUCUGCUCUCUCUGCCGAAUGCUCUUUUCGCAGAGACACGAGGCGUCUGCUCCUGCCAGUCCUCUGCUUUCUGCUCGACUCCUUUUCCUGGAAGAAUAAAUGAAAGAAAAGCCGAAGGACUGGAAACUCAAACUCAACCUGCUUCAUUUCUCGGGGUUAGUGUCGUAACGAAAUAAAGAAAUAAAUAAAAAAAGGAGAUUUUCAGAGCUGCUCGGAGAAACAGUUUCUGGUGUGCAGUAAAAGCAGAGACAGCAGGUCUGAGCCGGCGUGUAGAAGCUUAUGUUGUUCAUUUGUUGUUUAGGGUCUUUGCGCAGAAACGCUGCAACUGAAGCAGAUGGUUCGAUCUUAUGUGCCGUAUGAAUAAAUACAUGAAAAUUCAAAGGGAACAUUAUUCUCCUUCUUCAUAUAUACGGUGGUGGAAGAAUAGUUAUUUCUCUAAUUCAGCCUCUGCGCGUCAAGAAUGCUCGAAAGAGCUGCAGCCAAACAAAGUUGAUUUUGGAUUUCCUUUUCUGACGCUCCAACGAGCCGAAAAGUGUCUCCCUGAAACUUUAACAUCAUUAUCUUGAGAAAAUCAGAUUUGUUUUUGUGCAGUCAGCGAAAAAAAAAAACAAUCGCACAAGAAAGAUCAGGCACAUCCUGAACGACUCCAACGAUGAGAAUCCAGUCAUGCACGCCAUGCAGAUUUACAAAAUUCAUGUAUUUUCAUGGACAGCAGUGAACAUCAACAUUUCGAUGUGUCUAUAACCUGCAAUCUGCACACGAACCAGAAGGGGGGGAUCCUGCUGACUCUGAGGAGAUGUAAAUCUUUACCGUUAAAUUUCCACUGCAUGCGGAAUGGCAGCGAUUUUCGCCGUCCACAAAAUCCUACUGGGUGUGUUUCUGAGGCAAAUUUCGUGGCGAAUGUCGGACAGCAGGACGAGAACCCGCGAAUUCACACACAAUCGUGCGAUAAUGAGUUAUUGUCUCUAUAAAGACAGACACAGAACUAUAGAAGCAGUAGAUUGUGUCCUUCCAGAGGAGGAAAUCCACUCUGUCCAGACCAGCAGAUCAGACACUUGAAAUGACGUCUAAAACCUUUCACUUGUUCGUCUCCGCCCGUUUGCAUGGUGUGAAAUACGAUCCUCCUGAAACACGGAGGCCCUCGUUUAUCAAUCUUCAAUCUUGCACAGAUCUGAGCGCAGGAUUCAUAGUACGAUAGGACACACGUGAGAUUUAAGGAAGGGUUCGUAUCUGACCAAUCCCAGCAUACAUUAAUGGGGUCUUGAUAAAUGCGGCGGCUGAAAUCGAUCCUCAUUAACAUGUUUACGCCCUUAAAUAUUCAUGGUUCAGAAGCCUCGCCCACUGAGGUCAAACAUGAAAGAGGAGAAAUAUUAGAAAGAUGUGAAACUUUUCCGAGAUGAAAGUGGAUAUCCUCGCGUCUGUGGUGGAAACUGACAAGGAUUUUCUCUUUGGAAGAAUCAAAACUGGUCUAAAAGCAGUCCAGAAAACUCCUGUCUGGAGCAGGAUUAUGGUGGCGGUGAACAGCGCUGCCGCCGUAUAGCGGACAGUGGCUGAAGUUUGAAUAAAUCAUGAGGGAAGGCCUUUUCUCCACCGUUCUGCAUAUGAUGGAAUUUAAGGGUACGUUUUUAAGUCCCCUCAUUACAUCUCACUGGUUUGUAGAUUGUGGUCCAGUUUUGGUGGGAAACAACAAACAGGGUUUGGCUAAAGACCGGUGAUUGAAAAGUCUGAACUCGUGCACUACUGUAGAAAACAGUUCCACCCCUCACACAUCGCUAUACGUCAUCUUGUUCUUGUUUUGGGGUCCGAGGUCUGCCGUCGUAUUUUAGUUUUUGGUUAUUAAAGUUUUGAGAAAGUUGCUUUUUUAAUUUACAGAAAGAAUCCCAACGCAGAUGUAGCCAACGUUUUUAUUUCCACGCUUAUUUGGCUUCUGCAGCCGGCCCCCUCAAGUGGACAGUCUGGGAACUGCAGUUUUUGGCACUUUGGUUUCAUUUCUCUUUAAUUUCUGCUUUAAACCAGGUUGUGGUUCCACUUGGUCUAAUGACAUCCUCAGCCCGUCCUUCUGGACUUCAGCACUGACCUGUUAUAUCACUGGGUGAAUGAAUAUGUAGUUACUGGGGGGGUAAACACUCAUGUGUUAAAUCCAUGUCGAUAUUUCCAUGAUGGUGUGAGACAGACCUGAUUCAGAGCUAAAUCCUGCUGCAGUGUCUGAUAUUGAUUUCCAUUUGUUUCCUCCAGUCGACUAAUAAGCGCACAUAUGAAAAUAAUCAGGCCUGAGUGAUGGAAAUUAAACAUAAUUCACUCUCUGUUUGGAGCUCGCCGAGUUAUAAUUACACAACCUAAAGCUUUAACAGGCGCCAAAUGCAUGUCAGUUUGAUUGACAGGUGUUACCGCUAAGCUCCGGUGUUUACUGUUUGAGUAAUAAUAAAAAAAAACAUGGAUGUAAUGUCAUUUAAAGGUAGGGUUAGUCGGUUUGCUGCGGGUGGUCAGUGCGAGCCCAUUAACGCCGGGAGAAAUGAAAUUCAACGAGAGGCUGUUGGAUCAGAUUAAGACCUGACAAGAGGGGGAUUUCGCUCUGAUCUGGCAACCUGUGGAUCGAUAACAACGGCUCACACUGACAGGCGGGCCGGUUGAAGGGACUUCUCAUUUUCUUUCUUGCAUCACUUUCUCGCCGUGCCCUUCCUGAGCUGUUUGUCCGGGCCUCACUCUGUAAUCAGCGUCAGCGUUUGUCAGCGGCCGGAUGGCGAUUUGACAUUUCAGAACAAAGCUGGGCGCCAGCAGGGAGGGUUAGUGACAGAGAAACAGCGGGGCGGGCGAUCAGAAGAGAAGCAAAAAGGUGCUAAUGAGCAUGUUGGAAGCUCGCAGGUGGUUUUUAGUGAUGACAAAGUGGCUUUCACCUGUCUGCUCUGCUGCCAUCUCACGUAGCAUCGCACAUCACAGCAGAGCUCCAUUAGAUAACAGCGCGGUGAAGGACGGAAAACGGGAGCGAAAGAAAAUAGAAAAAGAGAGGAGGGGGUGGUGAGAUGAGUGGAGAAUACAAAAGAGACAAAAGGAGAGAGAGAGUGUCAGCUGUCAGUCACCGUGUUCACACACUCGAUAGGUUUGAAAGAUCAUCCCGGGUCAAGGUGGAGAGAUAGUACACUCUCCUUCUUCUUCAACACAGUCGUACUGGAGAUUCUCCUCUGCAAGACGUGACAUUAAAGAAACCGUCUGAUGUUUAAAUGUGAAAUCAGAUUAAGGUGGUCUUUACACGAGGACGACUUCGUAAGACACCGGUAAAAUAAACUAUUGAUCUGGUGAUAUUGACACAUGGAGACGCGUAUUUGUCCAUGACUCUGCAUCUUUGUUGAAAACGGGUCUGCAGGUGGAUAUCUGGGUAUUCGUCCUCAUGCCAUAGUUAGUGUAAAUAGAUAAGUCCUCAUAGCACCCCUCCUCCUCCCCGCCCCCCAACCCACGUCGUCAUACACACAGCAACAACGACAACAAUGGCGGUAGCUGCGGUGAUUUUGUUCUUGUUCCAGCAACUACAAAUAUUUCUACGACUUUUAUACCAACAUUUAGAACAGCAACAAGUGCUCAUGCAGAGACGCAGCGUGUUACGAGUGCACAACUUGUUGUCGUGGAAUCCACUUCGGAGCAGAACCAGACGGGCAACCCGAACCUGAUUUUGCCUGGAUUUUGCAUUGUCAUGUAAAUGCACUAAGCCUUUGUACAAUACGAUGUGAAAACAGCGAUACAUGUUUUGGUGCCGACGCCAAGACAAUACAGGGCCGUCCUCGUGUGAGGAGGGCCUAAGAGAUGGAAACCUUCAUGUUUAAUACGAUGGAUGUGCAAAAGUGCAGGACAUGGCCCUCAAAAAUCAGGGUUAGAUUUGUGCAAAGAUCGAAGUUAUUCAGAAAACUCGCUGGAGGCAGAAAAAGUCGAAUAAUUCACUCUUAACCAUUAAUGACAGCGAGUUAAUUUGAUGGUACAGGUUACAUUAAGCAUUGAUCAAAACUGUGCGAUGCAACACUGCAAUAUUUACAAAAACAAAGACUGAAAAAAAAGGAAGCUUUAUGUGAGUCACACUGAAGAAGACUUUAUAUGAGACUUAAUGUGUGGAGCUUACAGCAACAUAAUUAAAACAGGGAUUCAUAACGACCAGGAGACGUCAGACUGCUGUCAGGGAGACAGAAAAACAGACGUCUCUGUCUCUCAUCACGCACAGAGGGGCGCAGAGCGAGGGCAGAUCACACAUUAGUUCAUUGAUUUAAGAUGCUGAUGUGUUAAAAAAAGACCAAAUUAAAAUAAUCAGCCUGAGCAGAGAGAAGAGUGUGUGAGAAACAGACAAACAGAAAUCAAGAUAACAUUAAAAAUCAUAAAUAUAUAUCUGAUCAGAUUCUGUGAUCAAACCGAAGUCAAACCUGCAAUGGGUUCGAACUCACCUCCUCACUCUUAUGUUAGCCUCCUGUUGUGUUAACCAGUGAUCUCUAGAUGUCAGUGUGCAGAUAAUGUUACCUCAGAAUCACAGCAGAAUGUAACUAAUGAUACAGAAGAUACAACCACAAAUAAACUUCCAGAAAUUUCACAUCUUGUUCCAUUAAAGAUGUUGUAGUCAGGAUCUGAGUUAGUUCCAGUUUUUAGGAGAAAUCUUGAAUGUGAACUCUACCCCUCCCAACCAGUUUUCCCCUCAGCUCCUCCCCUCCUUCAAGCCCCGCCCACAAACAGACGCUCCUGCUCGCUCGUAUCGUUCCAAUUAAAUUCAGAUAUAAUGCAGAUAAAUACUUCAGAUCAUUACAAAUGGGGCCCAGUCAAGGUGAAAGUCAAAAGCAUUGGUGCUACUGUAGAUGCCAACAGACUACCAGCAAACACAAUGUUUGCAGGACUUCUACAACGAGGAUAAAGUGACAUAGUCCAGGACCCGAGGGAGGACAGUUUAGCGAUGGCGCUACAACACGCUACAGCAGGUCCGUUUGACAAGAAACACUUCUGUUACAGACACUUGUCUUACUUUGUUAAAGCGGUUUACCUGUCCAGCAGAAAGGUUACAGGGUCACCAAGAUCCCCAAGCGUCCCCCAUCGUUUAUGUUGACCCGGCUUUUUAGCUCUUGUCCGGUCUACCUCCGUUUUAAGCGCCCGUUAUUCCUCCAGAGUCUCCGCUAUUUACUUUGUUUUCUUGCUUGUGUCGGCAGUCGUGGCCAAAGGAGGAUUCAGACAAUUUUCCGAACUUUCUGGUUGGUUUCUACUGUCCGAUAUUGUAGCACGCUAACUUUGUUUGGGCUCCUGAACGACACGGGGGAGCAGCGUCUGCCUCACAACCAAUCAGGUUAGAGGAGGUGGAGAACGGCUUUGUUUACAGACAUAAGAGAACACAGAGAUAUCGAUAUAUUACCAAAUUGUCAUCAAUAACUAAUAACUAUUGACUGAUAUUAAAGGAUUUUUUUGUAAAUACACCACAAAAAAGAUGCUUCUUUAACAGAUUCCUGUCUACCCCACCUUUAACUCAGACCUGUGCUCAUGUUUGUGAUGUUUGUGACAGUACGGCGAUCAGAAGAAACCGUUUUUUGUGUUCAUCCACGUGUCGUGGAUCCAAACACAAAUCCAGACCCAGGGUGUCAGCUCAGGUGUAAAUAGGGACGCUGCUGCUGCUGCUGCUGCUGUAGGUCCCCUGUGCUCAUGGUACAGCUGCUUCUUGUUUGCGUUUCCAGCAGCUUCAUUACGCUGAUCACAUCUCACUUCUUCUUCUGUGGAACAACACGCAAACAAAAAGGGCUGACGGGAGCCGGGGGAAGUGAAAAUUAGCCCGUCCUGAGGUGUAAACUCCUACUGAUUACCGGUGCAUUGUUUCAAUCAGAUAAUCAGGCUUCUGCUAACACACACACUCUCACACACACACAGAGGUGAGGACUGACUAGCUGGCAGUUUUUUGUCACUAAUAACGGUUCAGUGGUGAGAGGUCCAGGAGAGGAGGUGAAGACUGACACUCGAACCGUCCCUCCUUCUUUUUUUUCCGCUGGCAGCUCUCAUCUGCCAUGUUGGAAGGAGCGCUGCCAUCACUUGGCACCUUAUUUAUUUUAAUUAUUUUGAUUCCCCGCUCUCCAUCUUUGGCAUCCCUGGCUCGGGGAAUCGCUGAUGGCUGACACUCAUUUGUCAAUCUCACCGCGGCCGCCUGCCAAUUAUAAAAUGAAAAGUUUUGGCGAGGCCAUUAGAGGCGGCUCUGGCUGCUUCAGCGGGUGUUAACAGGCGCGUGCGGCGCGUCGCUGCCUCCCCCUGCUCUCUCUCUCUCUCUUCUCUGAGCCCGACGCUCUCAGCCCCGGCUAUCAGGUGAGCGUUUGCUCCUCCUGUUUGAUGUCCCGCUCGCUACACCCGGAUUCAGAAACGCCAAGAUCUCAUUUUCGCCCCCUUGUAUUGCGCAGAUUUCUCAACAAACUCAGCAGGAAAUAGCGAGCCACAGCCCUUCAAAGUAAAACUAAUCAGUCAGGGAAGAGCGGCUGAUUUUGCUGAUUUUAACGUGUGUGGUUCGAGACAAGUUUUGACAAGAAGCUUCUCCCUGGAAAAUCUCCUAACCUGCUGCAUCACCUAUUCCACAGAUUUUCGCUCAUUUAAUACGAAUCACAUCUACUUUGCAUUCAUACUGACACGGACGGAGAAAGCUUUUAGGGGCCCCUGAGGCGAAAACGAGCUGCUAAGCUCCUCUUAACCCCACUUCCUCCUCUUCCUCUCCCCUGAGCGUUAUUACAGUACACCUGUGCAGGAAUAUUACAUGAUGUCAGGUUAACUAUGCAAAGAUAUUAUUUCGUUAACACAUCCUGAGCCGAAACUCCAGGAACAAUUCAGCCAGGUCAGUGGAAAUACAUCGCUGCACUUUUAGUCCAAAUCCAGGAGGCCAGAGUUUGGAUGUGAUUUUAAACUUGGUGAUAAAAUAUUUAGCAAAAAAAAAGACGAAAAUAUAUGAGCUAUUGAUACGCGCUCCGGGAGAACUUCCAGAAACUUUUUAGGAGCUCAGAGAUGAACCUGUUCACGCCCUCACAGUGGGAGGCCUUUCUAGUCAAUGGGGGGUGUGGGUGGGAUCUCAGGAGGUCAAACAGAAGCUGCGGUGCUUCCUCGCCGCUCUUCAGGGUUCAAAAUGGCGUUUUAUGGAGUAAUGGUUCCCACUGAGACGGACUGCUGAGCGGCUCUACAGCAUUUUUCAGCCAAGAUGCAAAAUCGGACAGAACACCGAAACAAUGUCAGGGAAAUAUAAUCAGAAGACACUGUUCCACAAACGGUGCACUGAUUGAUUUGAACUCUUUCAGCUCAUUGUUUUCGUUACACAUCUCUGAAAUAUUCUGCACACAAAUGCACCGCAGGAUCAGGAUUUUGUGACUCCUUAUUUUGCAAAAAGGAAACGUACAGGAUGUUAUUUUAGAUGAAUGCAGUGAAACUUGAGUGCAUGCUCAAAAACGAUUAAAGUCGGGGUGGAAAUCCCAGCGGUUUACACAGCUCUCCCACCGGGUAAUUUCAGGACAUUAUUAUUAACUUUCAUGUCUUUGCUUGUCCUGAAGGAUCUCCAGGUAUUCCAGGCCAGAUAGGACAUAUAAUCCUGUCAGUGAGGUCUGGGUCUUCUUUGGGAACUGGGGUACCUCUAAGGGAGGAGUCCAGAAGGUAUGACUUGUCAUGGUGUAGCUCAAGUGCCAUGAAAAAUACAGGAAGGAGAAGAAAGUUGUCUGUGAACUUUAGAUUUUAAUGCAAUUAAAGAAAUAUCUGAAAAUAUAGAGUUUAUGUGUUCCUGUCAACGAGAAUCACAGACAGAAUCAGCAAGAAGGGACAACCCUGACAAAGACCAAUGAGGACAUGUCUGAGUUAGUUCUGGGUAAACAGACACAGCUUUCAUUUUAGUCAUACAAUAUACUAAUGCCCUCUUAAAGGGAUAUUCUGUCGUAAAAUUAAUUCAGGGUCAAACACACCGUAACACCGAGUUAGACCCCCCUCCAGAGAUGAAUGUUGCCGACCGCUUGCUUCUCUAGUUAUACCAACUUUAGUAACGACCGCAGGAUAGAAAUACACACCGAUUGUUUGUAGAGAGACCUCAGGCCAGUCCAUUACGGACUACAGCGGGGUGCCUCAGCUCAAGGAAGAACAUUUAUGAUCAUUUCUUCAUGGAAAUACAAUCAGACUGAGACGCUAAGGCAGAAGAACUACCGCGUCUGCAGUGAAAAUGAUUAAUAUGAUGAUUAUUACUUCAAGGAAAUGAUAAAGAAAUGAUGAUAAAUGUUCUUCCUUGAGCUGCGUCACCCCGCUGCAGUCCGUAAUGGACUCACCCGCAAUCGGCUGCUGGAAGAGAGUAGGUGAGUUUUGCUGAAGAAAUGAGUCAAAGUUAAAAAGAUGUUUGGUGUCUAGUACUAUGUCUGUGACCCUAUUUGUCCUGUUGAUGAAGUAAGGUGCUGUUCUGAGCAUUAUUUGUGGCUAUAGAGUGGAGUUUUGGUUGAGGGCGUAGCUCUCCGUAUUGCUAUCCUGCGGUCGUUACUAAAGUUGGUAUAACUAGAGAAGCAAGCGGUCGACAACAUUCAUCUCUGGAGGGGGGGGUCUAACUCGGUGUUACGGUGUCUUUGACCCUAACUUGAUUUUGCGCCGGAAUAUCCCUUUAACCUUGUACCCCUCACGAGAACUGUACCGCCCCCAUGACCCCAAACGAAGAGCAGAGGCUGUUUCAUCACGAGGUCUAAACCCCUCUAUUUUACUUGGUUGGUGUUGCGCACCAAUCUGUAUCAAAUGACUCCCAAACACCCGUUCAGUGAGGACUGACUGUAUCGUUUACAGAAAACGGAGUGCGUGCAGAAACGCUGCUGUGCCUUUAAAUCCUCUCUGACAGAUGCAGCUUUGAACUCUGAUAAACACACAGUCUGCAGGAGACACAGAAUAACAGUUUGUGGAGAAAACACUAUUCACUCUGUUGCUAAAGUCGAGCUUGUUAAUUAAAAGAGAAGCUUGUCUGAAGGAUUAACGACAAGCUCUGCUGUUCAUUUCAGAGCCCGCCGCAUCACACACCUGCACUGAUGGAUUAUGGGUAAGCACUUUUGUUUGUAGGUUGCAUUUUUGUGAUGAGACGUUUGAUCCGGCAAAAGUGUCAAGUCAGGCAGAAAAGCAGCCUAACAAGACGCCCGCUUUCCUCUGGGUAUAAAAACACAGGUUCUCUGUUGUUUCCCUGCAAACGCUCGGCCUCCUUUCAUCAGCAUAUUUUAACAGUCGUACAGUAAAGAACAAAAAGGAGACAAAUUGGGGUUCGGGAACGACCAGAGACAGCAGCAUUUCUCUUGAAUUAGCAAAGCUCCGAGCUUAACAGCGCUGUCUCUGCAGCAGGAAGGUUUUCCCACAAAGCAGCGCCGCUCUCUCCGCUUCCUCGCAGAAUAAUUGGAGGGAAAACGAAGCGCGGCUUUGAGCGGAUGUUCCCUUUGUUUUAAGCGCUGGCUGUAAAUAUACACAUUCAUACACUCUGUAUUAAUGUCACAGCUGUAGUGAUCACAGAGCAGUUAGUUCCUACCAGCAGCUGUCAGAGGUCAUUAACAGACAGAGUGUGUGUGUGUGUGUGUGUGUGUGUGUGUGUGUGUGUGUGUGUGUGUGUGUGUGUGUGUGUGUGUGUGUGUGUGUGUGUGUGUGUUGUGUGGAUCGAUAGCAGGGUGAUGCUGAGCUGCAGAAGACAUGCUGGCUAAUUAAGGCCUCUCAGACUGGUCUGCUCACCGUUGGAUAAUAAAGUUUAAACAAAUGUAAAUUAACGUGAGCAUGUGCAAACUCUGCAGGACUUUAAAGGGACAUUACGCGGAAUUGGGCGUUUAUUUACACAAAGAAAAAAAAUGAUAACCCAGAAGUUUGUAUAAAUUAGUUUAUAUUGAAUAAAAUGCGAUAAUCGUUCAUUUCUGAUAUUUAGAAAAAGACUUUUUUAUUAUCAAAGCAUCAGCUUCUCGUACCGGAGGCUGUCAUGUUGCAGAACAUAAUGAGUUUAUGCUCUUACCCUUCCUCCUGUAUUCAGUUUCACUACACACCCACUAUGUUACCAGGUCGGUUUCGAUCUGUGUCUUAAAUCAGCUGCAAAUUAUCACAAACUUUAUAAAUUAAUGACACAGAAUAUGAAUGUUAUAUUCUAAUAAUAUAUAAUAUUUAUAUGUAAAAGUUAUAAGGGGGUUCAUGUUUUCUAUGAUUGACACCUGAUACAGCCUAUUGGUGUUCAGGGAUUGCGUAGCUCACCUGGGAAAGCCAAGCGACUCUCGGCGACUCUCCCACCGAACGCGCAGAAUGCUACUGCGCAGCGCUGGUUUCAGGAAAUGAAGAAAAAUCCUGGAAAUACAGAGAGCUUUUUGGCUUCAAAUCCGUAUACAGGCGGGAUGCGGAACCAAGUUAUCCAUAGUAUAUACAGUCUAUGGUUUAUGCUCUUACCCUUUCUCCUGUAUGGGUAGUUUUCACUCACAUCUGAUUGAAAUCAAUCGGAUUAAGUGAAUCUGAUUCCAUCUGUAUAUCAUGCAACUUUAAGUAAAGAACAAUUCGCUAUCAUCCAGUUUGGUUCUCAUCUCUAGGUGACCUUGUUCGGCUUCAUUAUCCAUGAAAAUAUUGAUUAUAAUAUUUUUUGUAGUGGGGCUCUGGGCCUUUCUUCUUCAGUAUACCCCUCACACAGACAUCUAUACUGAGUUGAUCUCACAUGUCUGGACAUGCCCAAUGUUGUUUUUUUGUGCAAGGAGAAACAAAAUGAGAAUUUCCUAAAUCUCACAUGAUUGGAAGAUGAUCUGACUGUCAGUAGCCCCGUUUAUAUGGGUAGUUUUCCUCAAUCUGAUUGAAAUCAAUCGGAUUAAGUGAAUCUGAUUCCAUCUGUAUACAUGAACUUUAAGUAAAGAGAUCCACGUUCAGUCCGCGUUUGCAUGGCCCCAGCUGAAUCCAAUUGUAUUGUUUUUUUUACAUGCGCAAAAGGUCACUCUGCCACUACCUGCAAAUGUGUAAGAGAAGAAAAGGCGCACUUCCUGCUUCCUGUUUACCUGUAGAAAGAUAGAUCCGCGUCGUGUUUUGUUGGGGACGCUUAUUGUGUUGUGGUUACAUUUAUUUGCGGCUCUGAAGUCACAACAGUUAAUAGUCCUGAAGCGUCAUGUUUGUUUUCAUUUGGGCGCACUCUGCGUACGUCACUACGUGCCUCUUACAUACUACAGAGCGCCUGCGCAGACCGGACAAGCCUCUCUGUAAACCCAAUCCGCUCCACUCAGCCGUAUAUAUGGAGCAUGGAGCGGAUUAUCAAUCGGUGUAGACUACUUCUUAACAAUCCGAGCCGAAAUACAAUCAGAUCCGGGACAUUUUGAAUCUGAUUGUAAAUAGGAUUUUUGGACCCAUGUAAACGGGGCUAGUGUGGUGCCUGUCAGUGCACAUAUGAUUUCAGUUUUGGCUCUAAUUAUUGUUUUAUAAUACAACCGGGACAACAGCGACCCUAACAUGACAAGUGCCAUAAUUUCUACCAGAGCAUUUUAUGAUUUAGUGAAUAGAUGUUUUUUAAUUGUGUUGAAAUAGAGGUUCCUGACUCAACGUCAAAAAGGCUCAAUGCAAAAAAAUAAAAUAAAAAUGAUAAUUUAUGGGUUCUUUAACACAGGAGGAGGGUUAAUAUUAUGACUUUACUGAGCCGUAGUUCUUGUAGCAUUCUGCCUCUAAACUUGCAGCACUAAACUGUCCUUAAAUAUUUGCCUUUAUACGACAUGCUGGACGGCAGAGGAGUGUUUUUGUCGAACAGACCGCCGUUCCUCAGGAAAAUUCGUCGACUCAACUUUAACAUUAUUUUAAUAACAAACACCCUGAACUCAUCCAGAAAGCUGUUUUUUUUCUCUCUUUUUUCGUCUCUGACCUUCAGCAGCUUCAUGAUUGAGUGAGCGAUCGGACGGAUGCCGGCUCACAGGAGGAGUUCAGGACAAACAGAUUGAUUCGCUCUCUGAAAACACUGAUGGAUCACUGAGAGGACAGACAGCUGUCAGUCUUUUGGAGACACUGUUGCCUGCGGUUCCCGAACUUCGACUUAUUUUCACUGUUAAGUACCCUCAACCCAAACUGACUCAAUCAUCGGGCAGAAUUCAUUCUUCAGCCGUCCCUCGGCUCGAAUCAUCUCUGAGCUCCGUCUGUGUUUUGUAACUUCUCCACACUUCCUGCAGAUUAUUUAACCUGCAGCACUUUCAUCACAAUCAGGUCCAAGAAUAAUCUGAGAUUGUAUGCAGACACCUGUUUGGAUUACCUUUCUAACACCAGCUGUCUUGCGUGACUCCAUGGUAACCUGUGUUAAUGUAUAAGUCUGUCUCAUAGGCAUUAAUUUAUCCAGUAUUCUGCACAUCUUUUCAUCUCUUUGGUGAGAUGUUUGAAGGUUCCUGUGGAGGACAGCUUUGAAAGUGUUUCUUUUUGCUGCGUUUGUUGCAGAGAAAGGCCACUGUCCCAUAAAAGAGAAAAUAUUUUUUAAUCAGAAACACUAAUUAAUAAAAUACUUCAGUAUUCUGCAACAAAGCGCGGUUCAAAAUGUUUUCAUGAAUGUUGGAGCAAAAACAUCUGAGAAAACCUCAAAUGAUGGAAAUACCUUCAGCUAAAAUGACUUCAUGUUUUGAUUAAGAUCCAAAAAAUAUGCAAAAAAAAAAAAAAAAAAGGGGAUUUAUACUAUCAAUAUUGAAUCUUUGGUGGAGGGUCUUUUGGCAUUUUCUGAUUUAAAAUAGCCUCUCUCAUCAUCUCAUCAACAUUUUACUUUUAAUACACAAAUAAGAAAAGCGGUUCUGUUGUCAGUGUCAGAACCAAACGGGCUUUCCCGCUCUCGUCAGAGCAGCUGCUUCCACUUUGUUUUCCAAAGUGAAAUCCAGCACAACGGUUCGAUAAAUCUAAUGUAAAAAUCCAAGCAGGUGGAAACACCUAGCUGCAAAUUAAAAGUCAAAGAGCAACAGUAGCUGCAGGCUGUGUUUAAAGCUGUCUGUUUGUGUUUUUAAAUCUGAUUAGCAAGUCAGGACCUGAAAAUGAGACACUUCGGUGUCUUCACCCCAGCGUGAUGCCGCUUUGAUUGUUUUCAUGAGGAAAGUGGAGCCUAAAAAUCCAAUAAUCUGACAGAGAGCGACCCAAAUCUGACUUAAAGGGGGCGCCAAAGUCUGAUUCCCUUUUAUUUUCAGCUUUUAAACAUUUCUGAUCUCUGAUACAGCUCAGACAGAGAAGACAUGCUCGCUCCUGACUGGCUGUGACGGGGACUUCUUCUGUGUUUGUCAUCAUUCACCUGUUUACUUGCACUCAUUUGCGGUUUGACAGGAGCCCCUCGUCUCUACGGAAACCUGUCACAUCCAAUCAGAAGAAGCAAGGAGGCUGAACGACAGGUGACGAACAUGGAGGAAGCAUUCAGAGAGGAAAGGAUUCACUGAAAAAUAAGAGACGUCAGGACGGAGUGAAGGAGCGCCGCAAGAUGGACAGCAGGGUGGCAGUAUUAUUGUUUGUUCAGCUUACACUCUCAACACGUCAUGUAGACCGUAUUUCUGAUCUUUUUGUGUCCUUUUAUCGAUCUGAAAACAUCACCAUCUUAGAUUUUUUUUAAUGUGAUGGCUUCAUAAUUUUCUUUGCUCUCAAUUUUGGAGCAUGUCAGAUAAAUCUCACUCACUGAAGAGGAAACACUCCCCAGAUUUUUUGUUAAUUCCACUGCGUCAAAACCACAAAACUCCAGAGAUUCCUGUUAAAAUAAUUUUGCAGGAUUCUAGGGCGUUCAGUGUAAAGUGAUGAAAAGUGCAGUUCCCAAGGUGUCCACUUGAGACUGGCUUGAUGCAGCAGAAAGAUUUAGUUUAGUUAGGCGAAGACCUUGUUUUUUCCCAACAAUAUAAAACCUUCUUCUUGAUGACUUAAAGGGAUAUUCUGCGGAAAAUUAAAUAAGGGUCAAACAGAUCAUAACACCGAGUUAGACACCCCCUCCAGAGAUGAAUGUUGCCGAUUGUUUGCGUCUCUAGUUAUACCAACUUUAGUAACGACCGCAUGAUAGCAAUACACAGCGGUCUGGGGAGCCAUAAACAAACCUCAACCAAAACGCCACUCUAGCUAGACCUCAGGCCAGUCCAUUACGGACUACAGCGGGGUGAUGCAGCUCAAGGAAGAACAUUUAUGAUCAUUUCUUUAUCGUUUCCUUGAAGUAAUAAUCAUAAAUGUUCUUCCUUGAGCUGCGUCACUCCGCUGUAGUCCGUAAUGGACUGACCUGAGGUCUCGCUACAAACAAGCGUCUGCUGGAAGAGAGUAGGUGAGUUGUGUUUAGUCUCUUUGCUAAAGAAAUGAGUCAAAGUUAAAAAGAUGUUUGGUGUCUAGUACUAUGUCUGUGACCCUAUAUGUCCUGUUGAUGAAGUUAGGUGCUGUUCUGAGCAUUAUUUGUGGCUAUAGAGUGGCGUUUUGGUUGAGUGCGGGGCUCUCUGUAUUGCUAUCCUGCAGUCGUUACUAAAGUUGGUAUAACUAGAGAAGCAAGCGGUCGACAACAUUCAUCUCUGGAGGGGGGGUCUAACUCGGUGUUACGUGUGUUUGACCCUAAAUUAAUUUUACGCCGGAAUAUCCGUUUGAAUCCAAGUGAUGUACCUAAAUGGCCACAUACGUGUGAGUUACUGAAGUUGGAGACACAUGAUCACAUGAUGAGCUGGCCACUGUCUGCAACAUGCAGAAGAAAUGUGUUAUUUAAACAAAAGUCAAAGAGGAAGAGCGUCCCUGAGUUAACAGGACUGAGUCAAUCAAUACAUCCAACUGAAAGAAUUGUAAUUGCAUAACACGGCGGUGUAAACACACCCAGGUACCAUCGAGGAAAGAUUCUAAUUUAAUCAGACAAACUCUCUCCAGAGGUCACAGACACACUUGGCCUUAUUAAGAGCAGCGUUAAAUGUGUCUUAUCUUUAAUCUACAGGUGGGAGCAGCCUUAAUGAAAUUAAAGGAGGAACAAACUCAGACAGGAUCAUCAGUCAGGAUCAUAGACUAUAAAACACAGAUGUAGAAGCAGCGAAACCACCGUUAUCGGUUUCUGAGGAGGUGUUUUGAAGCCAGACGAUUACUGGUGCUGUGUUUGAAACGCUGACUGAACCUGACCCCAGGUCAGUUUAAGAACAGAAAAAGAGGUGGUAGACAGAAAACUCCUCCACCCACUGAAUCAUACACCUCUAAGAAAUAUUUCAAACAGUGGCAUACUCAGGAUUUUUAAAGGGCAGGUACAAAAAUGUAAAACAACAUCUGCAGGGCACCUGGGAAAGGGCGCCGAGAGGGGACUUUGUCACAUAUUAUUGACUGGAAGAACAACAUGAGGGCACUAAGCUGCAUUUUCAUUAUAGUAAGGGUAUCCAGAGGGCGAUCUAUCACAUUUUAUCCACAGGAAGGGUAUCUAGAGGGCACCAUGUUCAGGACUUGACUGUGCGACCAUUUCAUUUGCAUUUUCGAGUAAUUGAAGAUGUGUGCAAAGUGUAAAAUGUAUUUAGAGCACAUGUGCGCAUAAAAAAAAUCAGCUGAGGCAACAAAUGUUUCUCCUGUAAAUACGGCAGUGAAGUUAGUUUUAGGUUGGCAGUGAAGUUAGUUUUAGGUUGGAUAUCUGACGGACAUUCUCUGAGGAUCUACCAGUGUCUUCUCACUCUCCAUAACCGGGAAUAACAACAUCAGCGCGGUUAAAUCUACUCGACACCCUCACUGUCAACGUCGGUGUUGAAUAAGGGACCAUCAAUAAAUUACCGGUUGAUGUUCUCAAAAAAAAGUCUGUUUCCCUUCAAUAGCCUCCAUGUCCAUGUGACCAACUGACCUAAAAUUGAUUUCAAAUAAUAGUUUUUAUGUCGACCAAUAAGACAAACAUCAUUUGAUCAAUUUUCAUUGUUCCCCUAAAGUUCUUUGUGUGCUCCUUAGUUAGUGUCAGGCCCUCAUGUUGCAUUUUAUCUACAUUAAGGUUGUCUAGACUGGACUUUGUUGAUUAUUUUAUCGACAGGUUAGACAUCCAAAGAGUAACUCUAGUAAAAAUCCACCAUAUGAAAGCCUUACAAUUAUAAACAUCUAAAAAUUACAAUUACAUUAUUAUUAUUAUUAUUAUUAUUAUUAUUUCCUGCCCUCCACGGUCUAAACACACCUGUGCAGAGCAGUGGAUUAAAGAUAUUUAUAUAUUAAACAUAUAAAAAUAAUCAAAAUGUGCAAUAUGUAUACAGUUUUACAAGAUACAAGUAUGUACACUAUAUACAACACAAAAUAGUAAAAUAGUAUGCAUAUAAACAGUGAGGAGAGUCCAGGUAAAGACGGCUGACUGAGGGUGUCAGAGUCUCUGAAGAUCUCGUGGGAUCUCCCAACCAACCAUUACAUCAUACGUUGACCUCGGGAAAUGUGAAAAUGUACAAACGUUUUGUGUCUCUCGUAUAUUCAGUCAUUUAAAAGAAACAAAAAUAACCUCUUGAUGAAAUUAAAACUUAAAAUAAGAAAAACCCAGACGUGUUUCUCGUUCCAAAGUCUUGAAGUAAAGUUUGUAUUUUUCCUGAUGGCCAAACUCUGCCUUACAUUAUUAAUUUGAUCUGUUAUAUAAAGACGUGUGACAGCCAAAAGCAGAAGUAAAAUUAGUUUAAAUGUCUGGAAGAGAAUCAGAGUCAGCUCCCUUCAGAUGACAGCAGUUAUUUCUGUCUAAUUACCGCCAGUCUUUGACCGUGAUCCAUGUGGAGAGUGUGUGAUAGGACAUAAUGAAAGCACAGCCUGUCCCUCUGCUGCCAAUGUAAUCCCACUAAAUGUAUGAAAAUAGAAGCUCAGCUAUUGUUGGAGUCAGCGUGCCGCCUCAGCAUAUACCUCCUCUGACACCAUUUGGAAGAGGUGCACCCUGGGAUAUUCUCUCACUGGGACAAAAUCCAUCUCGAUCCAUCUCCCCCUCUGGCACAGCGAGGGGAAGUUUGAUUGAUUUAUCAGGCCCGCGUCUCCCCAGCCUCCCUUUAAUGAGACAGUAAUAGCCCACGGUCGGCAGGCACUCCAGAGACGAAUGCGAAGGAGAGGCGAGCGGCAGAGAACCGAAAUGUGGACAGAAUAUGUAACCCGAGGUAUAAUCAAUCCAACACACACUUAGAGAGCGAGAGUGAGGGGAGGAAAUGAGAGAGAUGGCCGGAGUGAAGAUGGAGAAAGUGUGAGAGGGCGGACUAUUAGGAGGACGAUGUGACAGAAGCAGCCGGUAAAAGAGGAGAGAGCAGAGGGGGCGGUGGAGAAACGGAUCAAAAGUAAGAGAAGGGAGUGCUGACUGAAAUUACUGCUGCUGGCUGAAAUCAGCGUGUUUAAGCCUCAUUUUAAACCAAACUUUGAAUGAAACAGAUAUUUAGGAGUCUGAGUAACUCAAAGGAUUCAAAGUUUCACAUUUCAAAGAAACUCGACUGACCGCAGUGAAUCCUGUCAGGUGUUACGCCUCGUUUCGACUUCGUGUGUGCACUAAGGCGAGUUAACUAAGAAUCAUUCAUUCCUAUGUGAAUUCCUGUGAAGCUCCUCCCCUCUGUAGUAUUUCGCUCUAUGAUCUACUGUGAGUGACUUUGAUAUAAUCAUGAAUAACCUCAGAGACACCGUACGACUGCGCACUGGUUCCCAGACAGUCGCUCGUUUGGUUUUCCAGUGCGAUGGUAUGAUUGGACAUUUUCUUCAUCGCAGCUGCUUUUGUUUUGACUUCCCUGUGAGCUCACAUGAUUAAAAUAUCCUGGUCAUGAAGUGAUGACAGUCUCUUUCUCUCACCCUCGUUCUCUAUUCUCUCUCCCUCCCUCUCCCUUACUCUCUCUCUCUCUCUCCUUCCUUCUCCCUUGUUCUCCUUCUCUCCCCUGCCCUCUCUCUCUCUCUCUCUCUCUCCCUCUCUCUCUCUCUCUCUCUCUCUCUCUCUCUCUCUCUCUCUCUCUCUCUCUCUCUCUCUCUCUCUCUCGCUCUCUCUCUCUCCUCCCCUGUCUCUCUGUAUUCCUCCCCAACCCAGCACCCGCCUGGUGACUGUCUAGCAUGAGUCUGGUCCUGCUCAAGGUUUCUGCCUGUGAAAAGGAAGUUUUUCAUGUUAGAUGAGAUGGGUUAAAUCUGUCCCAUCUUAAGGUUGGGUCUUGAUAAUUCAUCAAACAAUGAGCGUGGUCUAGACAAGAAAGAAUCGUAGGAUGACGGCUGUUGUGAAUUGGCGCUUUAUCAAUAAAAUUUGAUUGAAUUUAAUUGAAAGGAAGUUAUUCUGCUAUAAUAUGGACAAAACUAAUGGUGGAUUAAAUAUGACAUGUAACUCUUUACUUAGUAUUUAAUUAAUUCUUUAAUUUAUUAUAUCAUAGUGCAGCAUAUUGUAUUAUAAUGUUGUAUUUAAAUGAAGAAAAGGCAAACUAUCAAGAGAUAAAUAUUAAUUCACCUCCCCGUUACGAUCUAUUGAUUGGUGAUCUAAAACUGGGUUAAUGAGGCCAAACAGAUCUCAAACAGAUCCACUUACAUGUGAACAGGGUUUCAGUCAUGUACUGUCAUAUAAAGUUUAAGGCCCACCUUGAAUUAUUCCAGAUCUUUCCUCUGAGUAUGUCUCAGACUGUCCCCAAUAUAAGUCUGGCUCCUCUGGGGGUUCUUAAUAUCCAUCUUAAAUUUCUUGGGUAUUUAAAUCAUGAAUGUCUAAAGUUUGUGAGUUUCAUACUCGAAUGAUUAAAGGAGAUACUUCAGAAUAUCAACCAACUGACGGUCGAACAUCGUCAGCUUUAGCAGCGUGAGCCUGAAAUAACCUUCGUACGAACAGCAGACAGGAGAAGAAGAACAGAUCAGAGGAGGGGAGAAAGAGGGGAGAAAGAGGGGAGAUCAGCAGACAGAAAGACAGACAUACAGACAGGCAGGCAGGCAGGCAGGCAGGCAGCAGGUAGAGCAGGCGUCUGCUGAUUGCCAGCAGCAGUCGGUCACUGCAGCCUUUAAUUAAAGUCACUCUCCUGGGCUCUUAAGCAACAGCUUGCAAUUUCCACAGACAACAGCAGCAUGGCACUGAGCUGGGAUGACCUGUAAUUGUCUGUGGGCGAUAGUGUGUGUGUGCGCGUGCAUGUGUGUGUGCAUGCGUGUGUGUGAUGGGGGGGUGGGGGGGUAGCCUCCCUGCCAACCUGUGAUUUUCAUGGGAAUUAAUGACAUCCUAGUGGGAACAUCAUUUCCCUGACACUGCUGGCCCUGAGGGGAAAGGUGAGGCGCUGACCUUUGUGUCGGCUCCCCCCCUGCUGUCUGUCUCCAUUUUGAAAAUGUGAAAUGUUGUGGAGCAGGAGAUGGAACAAACAGCCUCGGGUAUUAAAAUGCAGGAUGUAAGCAGGAAAAGUCAGGAUUGGGCAUCGCGGACUGCCAUUUGUCGUCAGAAAUCCCUGUGGGAACCGGCUUUUUAGAAAAGGUCAGCUUUAAGAGAUGUGUUCAACACAAAGAUCUUUUCCCCGAGGGCCGUACGUCCAUCCAGCAGCACCAGCAGCAGCUUUGACCACGUGACGUUUUCUCAUUUUUAAUAGUAUUUCAUAAACCUGAGGGACUUGGUCUCACAGGUAAAUAAUUUAAAUAUGAAGGCGUCUUUUUAAUGCUGAUCAUUUUAGUAAUGAAAGGUGUGUUUGUCAGGCCAACAUUUAAAAACAUGAUCCUGAGUAAUUGUUGAUUCCUCAUUAAAAGUUGUUUUCAUAAUCGGAGCGUGGUAGACAGAAUGAUUGGGAGGGAAAUUUUGGUCGAAGAAACAUUUACGUUAUUUCACAAGAAAGAAUCAGCAAACUUUAAAAGACGUAUGAAGGAAACUGUCUGCUCUUUAUUAAAUCUGGAAUCACAAAAUUCUUGAUUUAAAACAUCUGAACUGAUUCAAAACUUUGCUAUUUAUAUAUUAAACUCCAAGAGUCCAUUAACUGUUUAAGUUUGUGAAAACGGCAUGAAGAGCAAGUUUAGAGCGAAAACCUCAGACUGACUGUGCACCAGAGCAUGACACGGGAGCGGAUUUUCACUCCUGUCCCGUCCCAGAGAAAAAAUCCUGUCCCGUCCCAAUCCCGGACCGGAGUAAAAAAAUUUGUUGUGUCCUGUCCCACUUCCAUCCCACACCCACUCAAAAUUACUCCCACUCCUGUCCCGCUCCCGUUUGAAUAAAAUCAAACAUGUCGAAAAAACGUUGCAUUUUUUUAUUUUACGUAAAAGUGACAGCCGAGUCGGAGCGGCAGUCGCUCCCGGCGACACCAGCAGCCGCUCCGAGUCGCUUUUCACUUCCAGUGGCAACAGGAAGUCAACCCACUGUUGUAGUUCUUUUGUGUUGCUAGCGCGGUCAAGAGUGUCAACUCUCACUGACAAAUGACUACAAAAAUGGACGCAUCUGUUCAUCUGGUUGUUAAACAAAUAUGGCUGAAAAUGAUCAUCUAUUAAUGUUGUUCCCUUUAUUUUCCCGUCCCGUACUGGGACAUUGAGCAGCUUUUGUCUCCUAAGUACAAUCUAGACCUGCUUUUUGUGAAGCAAAUUGGUGCUAUAAAUAAAGUUUGAUUGACUGAUUGAUGGACAACCAUUAACAUAAACAAGAGCCAGGAAGUGAACACACGGCAGACCUGCGAUAACAGCAAUGACUCGAUGUAAUUGGUCUAAAAUUAACAUUACUACUGAAUUCUCUGCACAGUUACAUCCACACACUCGCAGGAAUGUAAACACAGAUCAGGUGAGUCACUGGAAACAGUGUGUUAGACUCACAGCUGUUAGUUUCUGAAGGAUUCACACACCAGAGAAACCAUACAAAUGCAGCCAUGUUUAUCCUCUUUACAGUGCUUCCUUUACUUCCUGCUUCCUGUUCAAUGCACCUUUGUCAAUUUCAAAAUAAAAGCAUGAAAAUCUGCACAUAUAACGACACAAACGCUUUCUCACAGGUGACCUUUCGCUGUCUGACUUUAAUAUGUAAUUUCAGACCUCUGCCAACACGUGUUAUAUAAACCUGACUCGCUCUACGUCGCGCUUUAAAAGCUCCCGGUUGAAUACAGGAGAUGUCAAACUUCUGCCCUCGUUUGUUACCGUCUUUGUGUGACAGAGUUACCUAGGCUUUUUAGACUUUUCUCUUUUUUUCUUAAACUUUCAAAGUGACACAAAAUAAAACGGCUAAAAAUACAGCCGACGACAAACAGCUCCCAUGUUCCCUGUUGUAAAAUUACAGCUUUUGUCAAGAGUUUGGCGGCUUUGAGAGAGCGAAAAAAAAAAAAAAAAAAAAUGGCCGAUUUUGGUUCAUGAAAAUAAAUUACUGACUGAAAAGUCUGUCAGCAGGAGUCUUUUCUGAAAGACGCUUGGUUGCAGACAGAAAUUUUCCAGGGCUGAAAGCACUGCCACUCCUGAACACUAAGUAUAAACUGAAGUUGAUGGGCAAUUUCUCCAAAAAUAUUGAAAAGCAUUACAAUAUGGGUGAAAAUGAGUAUCCAGCUGAAGAGGAACAAAACGCCUGAAAACUUUUCUGUUUUCUUCUGAAGCCUCGGAGCUUAAACCCAGUUUAAAGUCUGCAGAGUGAGCGGUUGCAUCACGUUGAAGAGCAUCUUACAGCACAUUACAGACAGGACGGGACAGAGACGGCGUGCAGCAGCCUCCACCGUCCUGCUGGCCGUCCGUACCCAGGGACCUCAUUAGUCCGAGCGGGCUGCUCCUUGGUCACCGACGGCUCCUUUGAGGGCGACGCGAAGCCACGGGGUCCAGCUUCUUACCCACUGAGGGUUCAGCGCUGAAAGGCCAGAGCAGUGACCUGAGACUCCAAAUAGUCUGUCUGCCUCGCUGGGACAAAUCAGGAGGGAGGGCGACACAUCGGCGUGCUGCGACACAUCGGCGUGCUGCGACACACCGGUUUUGUGUUCAUAAUAAACCAGCAGGUAGAUGCAUGGAGAGCCAGCAGCUGAGCCUCAAACAUCCGAGUUUACCGCCCACAGACUUUGUUUGUUAAGGAAAGUUCUCCUUCAGAAGUGACCCCUCGUCUGAAGCUGAUUCCUGACAUGAUUUUACUCAAAUAUACACAUAAACCUUUUGAAAUGUAACUCUGGGUAGUCCUCAUUCAGCGGAGGAUCGCUACCACCGACCCAGAAAAGAGGAAAACCAAAGCAGGUUUUCUUCAGAUGAGUAGGGAUGGGGAUCAUAAAUUCUGAUUCAUCCUGAUGUCUUUAUUGAGUCCUUGUUGGUGCAGCUAUCGCGUCUUUGCUGUUAUUUGGAGGAAACACAUUAAUACCAGUCAGUUGACCACUCAAAUGAGAUUCAUGAGAAGAGACCGGACUCUAUGAGAGGGUGCCUGAUGUCUAGGCCUCGUAAAGGAGCAGUACGUGCUGAAAGUAGCACCUGCAAGGCUGCAGCUGGAGAAAAUUGCAUCAGUCUAGGAUCGUGUUGGGCGGUAUGAACAAAAUCUUAUAUCACGGUAUGUUUUUUCUCCUGUAAAUUCAAUUAAUGUCUUAAAAAAUAACCGUACUGUCGCAUUUGUUCAUUUUCCAAAUGCAAACAAAAUGUCCGACCAGUCUGGCGAUCUUUUUAUCACGUGACGUAUCUUUGGAGAAAGACUCGGCCAAACUCUUUAGUCUGAAGGAGCUGCUGCAGUUUAAGUUUUUGGUGCAGCAGGUGCGUCACGCAUCUUCUGUCUCUCAUAACAGAGUUUGACGUGUUUCAUCUUAAGGUGGUGGAAGAGGCUGUUGGUGUUUUGCGUAGUUUUGUUUUUUUGAUCAUUGUCAGAAUUUCUAACUCUGAAGAAUCUCAAGACAACCGAUGUCACCCUUUUUCUGAGCUAGUCCCUCCUCCUCUUCCUUCUGUUGGGUGGGUCGGGCUGCCUUUAUUUGAUUGGUGGCACCACUAAUCAGGGCCCAACCGAUCUAUCGGUGAGCCGAUUAAAUUGGCCAAUUUUAACCCAUUUGAGACUAAUCGGUAAUCGGCCAAAACUCGCUGAUUUUCGCCGAUAUUUUCAGAAAUAAAUUGCGGAGAAUAAGAUUCAGUUUCACUUCGAAAAUGUUCCUCCAUUUGAAAAGUUCCCCGACUUAUCCAGUAGAUGGCGCAGCAACCUCAUGUACAAUCUUCAUCCACUAACUACCUCACAGCACAGCAGAGUGACGGAUCUGAAGCAGGCAGCUCAGGGACGCACGGAGGAGAGCGGUCCGCCUCAACGGGAAAUAAACCAGUUUGUUUCGUACACAAGAAGUCAACAAGUUUCGGUCAGUCGAUCUUUCUGUCGGCGUGAAGAGCAGUAGCCUACAGUAUAUCUACAGUAUACUAUAUACUGUAGAUAUCGACAGUUUAUAUAUAUUUUAUAACUUUAUAAAAAAUAUUAAAAAAUGGCCGAUUAAUCGCUAAUCAGAUUUUUUCCCCCCUAAUAAAUAUUAUCGGCAUUGGCCCCAAAAAAUCCAUAUUGGUCGGGCCCUACCACUAAUCUCCGUGUCUGCCAUGACGACCACCAGUGAAGGUGAUUCUUCUUCGUCGACAUGAUGCCAACCAGUCUGCUGGACAUGAUGGUGAUUAUAGGGAGCGCACCCAAACCUGACCAAUCAGACGGAGCGAACAAACUCCACAUGACACGCCGGUGAAUAUACGGAAACACACCCAAACGGACAUGCUCCAGCUCCAAGAUUUCUACAGGUAGAAACUUGUAUACCGUCACAGUGUUUAUACCGUCAUUGUUGCCUGCAAGAUCUGUACAUUGGAACAUGAUUAUCAUGGGAGCAGGGAGGUGCUGCAUGAGCGUUUGAGGUGACAGUCGUCUCAGUGGUCCAGUCAAAGCUUGUAUGAGUUAAAUGGUAGCUAAGUGUAUUCGCCGCAGUGAUUAGAAAAGCGUUAAUAUCAAACUCUAAAUCCUGUGUCCGUUUGGUGCCGUCUGAAAGAUUCAGAAAGAUGAAGAUCCAGCUUUUCUUUACACAUCCAGAUAUAACCAACAGAGCGGCGUUUACUCCAUCCUUUUGUGAGAUAUUUGUCCUCUUUAAAUUCUCACUCAUUGUUCUGUCCAUCACUUCUCUGACAAAAUAAGAAAAUCUGCAGAGUGGAGUGUCUUUCACUCAGACAGACGGUAUUGUUCCUCUGUAGCUCACAUCUCAGGGCCUCGCUCUCUCUUUUCUCAUUCAUGCUCGUAUUUGAGGCUGAAUGUUCAAUGGCGUGUGACCUUUGUGGGUUCAUUAUUCGGCCUCAUUUACCCGCGCUGUGUUCUUUAUGCACCGAUCUAUAAGCAUGGCCUCCUGUCUGUUACCGGCCUCACUGUUACAUGUCCAACACAGCCCGCUCUGCACCGCUGCCUUCUGUUUCCUGCGCUGUUGCCAUGGUAAUAAUCAGCUUCAUUUGUCCAUUCAUACACCAAAAGGCUAUUAGCGCUCAGGAUAUGAAGAUGCAUGUAAACAAAUUAUCCUUCUCUUAAAUUGAACAGGAUAUGAAGCGAGAUCAGAGGACGUCGGUGCAUUUGUCUAAAAUUAAUUUCCAUCGCUCUCAUGUGACCUCGUUUGACCCCGCUGUUUCACACUGAUAAACCCAAAAGGCUGCAUCCGUCCUUUGACAUUUUUCAUGCACAAACAGCACAUUGCAGAAAAGUAACUGUUGAAGAUUAUUGCAGAGUUCUUCGGUUGACUAAAAGUGUCAAGAUUUGCAGGAUAUCUUCAUCUUGAAUCCGCUGCAGAAACUCAGAGACACAGUCAAGUUAUUUCAGCAGGAGGAUCUCUCCGAAGCUACAGCUUAUUAAAAAACAAAAGCGUACUUGUGUGUACUUUUGCGAUGCCAGAAAAGCUUAAUCACUCAUCUUCUCAUAACAAGGCAGUUAAAAAAAAAAAAAACCUCUCUGGAUAUCUCUGUGUCGACUAAGUAUCUCAUGAUGGAUCGCUCAGCUAAUCGUCUGCGAGGAGGCAGCCUUUAUCAAUCUGUUCACAGAGAUGAUGUAACUUUGAGAACAAUAGAUGCAGACAGGCUGUUUAAAAGCAUGAUUUAUUAAAGUCGAGACAAUUUUAGCUCCAUGUAGGAUGAUUUUACUGGAAUUAAGCGGGGCUGUAAUUGCUGCCUGGAAAGACAAAACUGAACAGAACAAUCUUUAACUUGGCCCAGAGUUCUGGAGGAGGACAUAAAACGUACUUUUUAGUCUCAUUUAUAUGAAAAUGAUCCACAGAAUUUCCACUAAUGCUGCAUUAAAACUCACUGUUACACAAACAGCUACCAUCUGACUGAGUCGCUGCGUCGCUCUCUUUCAUUCUUUGGUUUAUAACUUUUCACAAACUUCACACUUUUUAUUUGAGUCUCGGUGAUGAGCAUUAUAAACAUUUAUAUGUUUUGAUUCGUGUAAAUAAAAGCCUAAUUAAUCCAUUUAUUAAUGCUGAUAGGCUCUUUCUUAUGAGAAACUUAAGAGUUUAUAUACAGUUUAGGCCAAAACUAUUCCCCCCCCCAUGAAAUUUUAACUUUUGAUGUUUUUACACAGCUUUUCCAAACAUCCUAGUUUUAUUUUAGAUCCUUACAUUAUUUUACUUUGCAGACAGAAACAAAAUUAUGUCACAAAAAACAAAAACUACCAGGGUCAAAAAUAUGAGCCCCCCUCAGGCUAAUGCGUAAUGAGGUUUUUAAACUGUGUGUAAAUUGAGGACAACCCUUUGUUUUAACAUAAUUGAUUGAUUGAUGACAAGCUGUGAGCGCUUGAAAGUGAAAGCACAUGAUUGCACAACAGUGGUUUUGGUUUUGGAUCAAUAAAAACGUCAAAUCUUAAGGGGGCGAAUAUUUUUGACCCUGGUAGUUUUUGUUUUUUUGUGAAAUAAUUUUGUUCCUGUCUGCAAAGUAAAAUAAUGUAAGGAUCCAAAAUAAAACUAGGAUGUUUGGAAAAGCUGUGUAAAAAAAUCACGAAUCUGUUGAACAGCACAGAAACUUAAAAUUUCACAGGGGGGCGAAUAAUUUUGGCUUCAACUGUAGCUGUUAAUGUCAAAAAGAUGUUUAGUACUCAUGAGGAUCUUGUUUGCACUUACAAGACCUAAUUAACUUUAAUUAGAUGUUAUUUAACAUGAUUAUGAAGGUUAAGAUUAACGCCUCUGCAAAGAUGCAUUGAUAACUAUUGAUCAAUCAAUCGUGACCUUUAAGUUUAUUAACAUCUUAUUAAAUUAAAAGGUUUAAUAUCCAUUAAAAGUUUUUACUAACUUCAAAUGAUGUUUAGCAAGAUCAUCGACAUUGAUGACAGUAAAUCAACAAUUAACAAGUUUCAAAUGAGAUAAAUGUGUUUAUUAUGUUUCAAUUAACACUUACAAAUGUUUAUUAGCACCUUAUAAAGUCUAAUAUGGGGCAGUUUAACCUUUUAUUGUUGGUUAUAAAAAGGAAAUAAUAUUUCUGUUAAAACGAAUUUGAAAACUUCUCUUUGCUCUUUUUUUAAACGUCAGAUUUAAAAUGUCGAAAACAGGGGAAGAAAAAAACGUCCAAACAUUAUUUAUAAAAUGCAUAAUUUGCCGAUAAACGCGUCGUUCAGAGACGCUCUUGUCCUCUGUCUACACGUUGGAUCAGGACGCAGCAGCGCUGAAGGUCGUCUCCUCCACCGCCUCUGCACCACCUGACAUUUUAUCAGCUCCACUACAAGUCCAGAAUGUCAGAAAUGUUUUCUUUCUUAUUCCUCUCCCUCCAGUCUGCUCCUCAUUUUCAAUCUGCCGGUGUACAGUGUUUGUGUUGCAUCUACUUUCCAAUCGGAGCGUGCGACCUCAGUGUCACUUCGUUUCUGACGAAGCAAUCAGGUAAAAAUGGCUCUGAAAUGGCAGAUUACUUCAGACGGAGCGGAGAGCGCGGGACGCAGGCGGACUGCAGGCAAAUUGCCUCUUUCAGCACUUAAAUAAAGGCGGGAGGUCAGGAGAGGCUGAGUGAGAGGCUUCACACACACACACACACACACACACACACACACACACACACACACACACAGCGUCCUCAUCUUCCUCCGUCUCUCUGUCCUUUCUCUCUCUUUCUCUCUCUCUCUCUCUCUCUCAGUCCAGUCCUAUGAAUCUUGAUUGACAUGAUGUCCUGAGAAACAAGAUUCAGAUCAGUGUCUCAUCACCAGACGGAUGUUAAAUUUUUCUGUAUUGAAAUUUCGCUCGUCAUUUUGAAGAGGAGAGAAAAAAGGAAAAAGGGCGUUUGAAUCCUGACGCUUGUUUCCCACGAUCCAGCGUCUCUGUCCUCGAGGGUUAGGGGCCCCUGAGGGGAAGAGACUUUUGUUUUUGGUCCUGCUCAACACAUUUCCUCUUCGGUAUUAUGCAACACUACGCAAACAGAUAAUAGGUUAAAAUAGUUUGUAUCAGAGACCUUUGUGUACCAGAUUCACAAACCCCAAACACAGCCCAAACUCGGUCUUUUUUCUAUUUUUCGUCUCUUUGAUUAACGUUAUAAAUAUUCAGAUUUCCUCCAGGAGCCCACAAGCAAGGACGGAGCCAGGGUAACAACUUUGUCAACAACUGCGUGAGCAAAAUCUCCAACAGUUUACGACGUUUCGUGACGUACAACUGCAGGAAAUUAAGGAUUUCAUCAUCCCGAUCAGUUAUCUCCAAACUAUUCCACAAAGGGCCGGUGUGGCUGCAGGUUUUUCUCCCAACCAACAGCAGCGCUCCUGACUCGAUUCAUUUUAUCAGCUGAUCUCAGUCUUCAGACAGCUAAUUGGUCAGACUGCUGCUCUUGAUUGGUUGUAAGAAUAAACUGCAGCCACACCGGCCCUUUGUGGAAUAGUUUGGAGAAGCCUGAUCUAGAUGAUGAAAUCCUUAAAUUCCUGCAGUUGUACGUCGUGAAACGUCGUAAACUGUUGGAGUAUUUGCUCACGCAGUUGUUGACAAAGUCGUGAACCUGGCUCCGUCCUUGCUUGUGGGCUCCUGGAGGAAAUCUGAAUAUUUAUAACGUUAAUCAAAGAGACGAAAAAGACCAAUCCCUUUAAAAGAGGCGACGUGAGAUCCCUGAUCAAACAUUUCACUCAUGUUUCCGUUGAACAUCAGCAUGAUCCUCCGCCGGGCCUGUAAAAGUCCUAACGACUCCUGAUUACCCUGAACAUUUCAUCUCCUCCUCCUCCUCCUCCUCCUCCUCCUCCUCCUCCUCUUCGUCUGCAGCCCCAAUCAUCAGACCAACCUCUGUCAAAGACAACAGAGCAGCAACCCGCCCUCCCGCCGCCACCUCAGAUACACCAGGAACAAAUUAACCAUCAGAAACCCUUCCUCGCACACACACACACACCUCACCCUCCUCACCCUCCUCACCUCUCGUUCUCUCUCCCUUCAUCCACCCGUCACCGUCUUUGUCCCCCGUCCCCGGCUGCUCGCCGCUCUUCUCAGGUUGCUGCUGCUGCUUACAGAGACUGUCGCCGAGUCGUCGUUUGACAUCUAUUACAGUUAAGGAUCACCCUGGCAUGUGUUCACGCCGACAGACUCACACACACUCACACACACUCUCUGUCACACCUCUCUUAAGGCCAGGAGAGCUAAUGACUGACUGAGAUAGCCGGGCUUUAAAAAAGAGAAAAAGGGAAGGUGCCAGAAGAUGAUUCAUCGGAGCCGCUCCGAGAUGACUGACGGCUGAUUUAUGAUUCAGCGGCGAGCUGUGAGAGCUUAGAGUCAUUUCCUCCCAUUUCUUAUUUUAAUUCCUCUCCGCAGGUGAAGGCAGGAGGGAUGGGAGCCAAUUAUCUUAAGUGUCUUCUUGCUCUCUGUCAGCCGCUGACAGUCGCUGCAGAAACUCUGAGGCUGGCUUGGAGAACAGGUGACUGCCUGCCGCUACCGCCACCGCCAUCGCCACUGCCGCCUCCACCUGUAUUACAAUCAGCCUCAGGUUUUGCAUUAGCAUGGUGGCAUGCAGCUCCAAUAAAUAACACCUGUGUGUGAGUGUUUGUGCUUCUGUUUGACCAGGAGAAUAACAGGGUUUCUGCUGUUUAUGUUGUUUGUUGGAAACCAAUUUACAAUUCAGAUGCAGAAAUAUAUCCGCUCCUCCUGCGUCUCAGAGAGUUAUGUUGAAAAUAUACAUUUUUACCGAGCAGUGUUGUCUCAGAUCACAUAUUCUCUGUACAAAGGAGUGGUCAACAUUCCCUUCUUGUAACACAAACAAACUUUGUUCACAGACAACAAAAGUGAUUUUGAGCUCAUGCGGUGACUCCCACUGCAGAAUCGUGUCUAUUUUAAUGCUGCCUGAGGACCUGGACGUCACAGCUGUCUAGUAUCAAUCAAUCAAUCAAUCAAUCAAUCAAUCAAAGUUUAUUUAUACAGCACUGUUCAUACAAAUGAAAUUGCAGCUCAAAGCGCUUUACUUCAGGACAAGAAAAAUAAAACUUAUUAAAAUAGAUUAAAACAGACAAUAAAAUGUAAACUUGAAUUUAUCAAUAAAAUAAGGUAAAAAGUGAUACUUAAAAAAAAUAAAUUAUAAUAGUAAUUAAAAUUAAAAUAGAGUAGAUAAGAACAAUUAAUUUGGGUACUUUCCCCUUUUACUUUGUGUCUAUCUGAACUGACUAAACUUGAUAAAAGAAGAAAUCGAGAACUAAAUCGAACCGCCACCUAAACUGUGACUUUUUUUGAUCAGCGAGGUAACGUUUAAAAAUAUCAAAUUUUAUCGCCAGCUCACUUGGAUUCCAGUCCCUGCUUGGAGUUCUGCAUCAGUUCCUCCCUCUGUAGACCAGUACCAGAGACUAAAACCUGAGUGUUGUCCUGGUUGAGCUUUAAAUGAUGCAGAAACUAAAACACAGUCAUCAGGUAACACGGCAGUAUAAAUCUGUGCGUCCUCUGAAAGUUGAUAUUAAUGUUGGGUUGAGUCAGGACAUGAUUUCUGUCUUUGCCGUCCAGGUAGAUCCAGGUCCAUUAGAUCUGGACUCUCAGCAGUUACACGGACGUUAUCUGGUCUUAAGCUAUUAAGAAGAAAUUCCCAUUUACUGCUACUUAUCAACCAAAAGGGGGCGUGGUUUCGACUGCGUUCAUCUGCUGGUCUCGAUCCUCGUCAUUCUUGUAGUUUUCCCAGUUUCUCAGUUUGCGUCCUGCGUGUGAGAGGUCUGCAGUGAUGUAACCUGCACAUUUCCUGACCCUGGAUGGAGCGCAGGUUGGCCCUGAUGAUUUUCUCCACAGUCCUGAUUGUCCGUUGAACUGUUCCUGUUCCAAACUGAACAGUGAUGAAUGUGCAGAGGACAGACUGGAUGUUGGCGUUGUUGAAGUGGAUCAGCAGCUCCUGAGGUUGAUUUUACUACCAGAGUUUUGCGAGAAGUUCAACCUCCGCUGGGAGAUGGAGUCUUUGUGGAUGGUCCAUUUCAAGUCUCUGCAUCCCUGUUCAGGACUGUGAAGGGGGCAAGUGAAGGAAGGAUCCUCCUAAAGUUCACUGUCAUCUCCACAGCCUUGAGCAGGUUCAUCUCUAGAUGGUUCUGACCACAGCAGAGGACCAGGUGACCCACUUUUGACUCAUCACAGUCUCGGAUGAGACCGGUGACUUUGGUGUCGUCCACGAACAUCAGGAUUUUGACAGACAGGUCCCCUGAGGUGCAGUCGUUGGUGUUAAGGGACCACAUCACCAGGGGGCGCCAGUGCUGAUGGUCCAGGUGUUGGAUAUGAUGUUCCUCAGCUUCACCUGCUGCCUCCUGUCUGUCAGGAAGCUGUUGAUCCACCGAGGAGCUCAGCCUCUCUGAAUGCCCCUCUUUCAGCCGUGUUAUCGUGGCAGAUGAUCCUGAGUAUUUCUUUAAUUCGAUGUAUCACAGUACGACACAACAUUUAAAUGUUGUUUUGCAUUAUUUCCAAUGAGACAAAGGGGUUCGAUGAUUUGCACACAAUCGGAAUCUGUGCUCAUCCGCUCAGAGAAACCAAAGGGUGGCAUCACUGAGUCUUCAUCCAUUUUAAGUAGAUGUUUGUCACUGGAGCGGAAAUGUUAUCCGGGAAAGUUUGUAUCUCUGAGGGCCGCGGUUUUAAAAACUGCAAUUCUAUCAUUUGAGGAAUUUUGUGUUUUUUCUCUUCCUGAAAACUUUCAACCAGUCUCCUUGAAGACUUGAGGACUCGAGUCCUUCUAAAUGUUUAAAUAAAGAUUAGUUUCGCUGGUUGGAGCCAGAAUAAAUCCAGUGAAAGAUGUAGCGGCGUGGAAGAGACGGCGCAUCGCUCCAUCUAUAACCAGAGGCCUCCCCUGUCACUUGCCCCGCCAUCCAAUAUACUCCAAUCAAUUUACCCUCCACUGCAAUUCAAUGUGACAGUAAGACAAAUCGGACUUCCAAUGUAAAAUAAUUGAAACAGACGCUUAUUUGAGUGUGUGAGGGAGGCCGUAUUCUGCAUCAGCCUAAUGCACUGCGUCUGUCCGUGUCAGAGAUGGAUUGUGGUGUCAGAGUUACAGAUAAGCCUCUGUUUAGUUAGCCCCGUUGGGAGGGAUGAACAUUGUAGUCAUAUUAAAGAUAACAAGUGUUUUUAUCCACGUCACACACCGGCGGAGGGGAGGAGGAGGAAGACGCUUGUAUUUUGUCAAGUGAAUUGUAAUUGCUAUCCACCAGAGGACACAUAAUUGAAAAAUUGGAACAGAGCAAAAAGUCAACGGCGUCUGCGUUGUAAACAAAGAUUUGACCAAAUCCUCCGCGGUCGUGGGCGGCCGACAUCACAGGCUCUGGGAAAAAAGAAAAAAAAAAGAAAAAAAGGCACAGAAGAGGCUCGGCUCUCUGAAAUCCACUUUUACAAAAAGGAAAAAAUAAAAGGUCUUUGGUUAGGGGAUUAAACGACACACAUAAACACACAUUUACAGAGCCAAAGAGCGAGAGAGCGAGCCGCUGUGUUUGGUGCCAAACAGAGCUGUGUUCCAGAGAAGAAGAAGAAGUGGUGCUUGAAGAGAAAAAGGUUUGCGGGGGGAAAUAAAGAAGGUGAAUUUGGAUUGAUGUGAAUCACACUCGCUGCUCUGCCCUGGAGCUCGUCCAGCGCGGGAUGAAUCGCCUACCUGUGUCAGAGAGGAUGUGUGAGAGCAACAUCCAACAACAACAACAACAACAACCACCACCCUCCACCCCCUCCACCAACCACCAUUACCCACCGCCCACGCCUGCCUGGCCGCCGGCGUGUUACAGCGAGGAUUAGAUCGUAUAAUCAAAGACAUUCCACCUUCAGACUGGCACAACCUCCGGGUCUCCCUCUUCUUCUUCGCAGGGAGCCAAACUGUGAGUCAAGGAGGACGCUGGGAAAAUAAAUGGUCAUGGACGGAUUGCAGCAGCCGAGCUAAACCCACACACAGCUAAGGGAGCGCUCAGCAGAGGUCGGAGGUCAGGUAAACUCCAUGACACUCCUCGCUAGCCGGCUAAUCCAGCAGAGGAUGAGGAGGUUUUUUUUGGCAGUGGGCGGCUAAACAGGCGGGCAGCGAGGUUAAAGCAUGUUUCCGCCCAACUGUAGCAUCUGGAGACGUGACCGGCGUUGUUAUGAUGCAGCGUGUCAAAAGCUGAGGCGAAAGGAGAAACAAACGGGGGCGGCGGGCUGCACCAGCGCCCCCUGCUGACAGCUUAGACUGACAGUCUUGAUGUUUGUAUGAGAAAAUAGACGAACCUGGACCUGAGCGUGAACCCUGAAGUGGGACACCAGAAACUGGACUGUCAACGGUGAUACCAGGAAACGAUUUAAGAAUAAAUUCACAAAUCAAGAUUCAUUAACCUUGAUUCUGGAUUUAAAGUAAAAAAUACACAAAUUUGUCUUAAAUUUACAGUUUAGCUGAUAGAUGAGGGACAUUUUUUUUCCCCUGGUACAGGAGUUGACAUUAACGCUAUGUGACGCUGUGCAGAAUUAAAGUGCGGUACGUCUAAUUUGUGAAUCAAAAUACUUGAUCUGAUGUUAUGUAACUCUGUGAAAGACUCAGAGUCUCUCGUAUGAUUUGCACGGCCUCUUUCCUCUCAGAAAUUCAUGAACUGAUCACAAAGAGUCCACAGGGAAUAAGUCUGAAAACACGUCCGUGACUCUGUGCCGAGCAAAAACAAAACAUUCGUUUAUAAAUGCGACCUCAGUGUGUACAGUUCAGAUUUUAUUUAAAUUACAAUCACAUUUAAUGUUAAUUAAUGCUAAUGCAUGAUUUAAUGGAACAAACAGCACUGGCAGGGGUUGUAAUUAAGCACAGCACAAGCCUGAGUGUGUGUGUGUGUGUGUGUGUGUGUGUGUGUGUGUGUGUGUGUGUGUGUGUGUGUGUGUGUGUGUGUGUGUGUGUGGUAGGUGACUGCACUUUUAAGAGAAAUCAAAAACUGUGUUCCUGCUGCAGCGACACGGACUCUGUGAUCCUCGCGGGUCAGCGUCACCAACAGCAGCGCUAAUGAGGCCAGAGGUCAAAGGUCACUGCAGACAGAAGACAGGACAAACUUUCCUCUGACCUUGAGUUCACGAUGAAAGCUGAGUCUAAACCGGACGAACCGCCGAGGUCAGAGAGCGAGGUCACUCUCAGAGCGGCUCUCGAUUGGCUGACUGGUUUGGGCGGGCGGAGACGAUAAGAGGACAUUUUCAGGUUAUAGUUUCACGUUAAUUCUCAUCACUCGUAGUUUAGGAUUUUGGGGUGAGUAAUCACAUUUAAGGGGGGACCCUGAAUCCGCCCCUGACACCUUUAUCUACCCUCCUUAAGCAGCGCCGUGAUCUUCGCGAUGUUGGGAUAAAAAUCUGAAAUAAGGAGAUUAUCCACGAAGUCUGAAGUCACGUUAAUGUGCGACUUAAGUGCAACCCGCGUCCUCGAGUCCCUGUUUCUGCACUGUGAAUCUGGGUCCCUCUGUUAUUGUCUCUCCCUCCUCCGACACUUUUGCUCACUCCACUCUCAGGUGAACUUGGAGGAAGAGAGGUGAGAAGAACGGGCUUUAUUUCCUGGAAGAGCUGAGGGGAAGCUCGACAUCACUCAUGAGGAGGAAGGAAGGAGCCGCUGAUUGCACAGGAAGAGGAAGAGGGGUCUUUAAUUUACAGUCCUCUCUGGUGUUCAAGCCUUCAGCCUCACACAGAGUUAAUCAGCACUUAGGCUAUAGAUAGGAAGAGAGGGAUGGAGAGGAUGGCGAGGGGGAGGCUGGUCUCUGGAUCCAGCAGUAUGUUUAUCUGCUGUUGUCUAGAGGAGUUCCUCAGUGUGGUGGCUGGUCAGAUUGUCACUGUGAUGUUUGUCUAUCAGCAGCUGAGGUAGGUGAAGUCCAAACCUGAGUGGGACCUGGGAUCUUUUCCAAUCAAAAUGGCUGAAAAUAUGCAUGAAAAUAUGAACCAACGUUUAAAGAAUUCAGAUGGCAAAAACAAGCAUGUUCUCAAGGUGAAUAAAAGCUUUCAACAGGACACCUCAGAGGACAGUUUAUAACUUUACUCUUACUGGAAGGGCAUCCAGGUGUUGUUCUGUCAUGUUUUAUCGUUGAAUCCACACACAAAAAUAUACUCUCUCUCUCUCUCUCUCUCUCUCUGCAGGACUCACAUCUUGGACCUGUAACACCUGUGACUGAACUCAUCCAAGAAAUCAUGCAGACCACAUGGAUCCAUGACCCAGACGGAGCGGUAACAUGACAUCCAGCAGAAACAGACACAAUAAAGACAAACAGACGAGGUGAUUUCAGUGACUCAGUUUGAGGAUUUUUAUGAUUUUUUUACCCACAAUCAGAGACUCGACCACAAUCUGAGCUGAGUCAGAAACAUCCAAACAGUCGGACUAAUAAAUGUGAUUAUUAUUAUUAGAGUGAUUGAAAAGCUCAUAACAACAUGUAGAUCUGUCCAAAGUCUGAUUCUAGAUGUCUUUACAAACACACUGAUCCAACAGAAGCAGACAGAAAUAUCCAUCGAUCACAUGAACACAAAUAUUCAGCAAACAGAGAAAGAAACAGAUCAUCUGAAGAGUUUUUGGGGACGACUGGAAAGACUUUAUGGUUUCUGUUUCUAAAGUCUCAAACCUUGAAAAUCUGCACCAACUGAAUGGGAUUUGAACAAAUGAUCAUCUUGAUGUUGUUGAUUUCAAACUAAACCCAGAGUUUUUGGUGAGACUGAUCCACAAACAUUUACAAACCAGAACAUUUCAAGAGUUCAAGGAUCUCAGUCCAUGAUUUUGGUCUGAUGGACUCAAAAUUCUCUUUAGUUCACUUCUAUAAACUCAGCAGAGUCUCCAUUAGACCAGUAAAACCACAGUCCAGCAUGUAGAGGUUCAGUGAAUGUGGUCUGGACUCUGUGGAGGAGAAUCAUGGUUUCAGAGACGCUGUAGAAGGACAGAAUACCUGCUCUGUGAUCCAGGUACACUCCUACUCUGGAGGACGGAGGACCUGAGAGAGGAGUGAAGACGUUGUUGUGAACAAAUCUACAAGUGUUUGUAUCACAGUCUAACCUCCAAGAUUUGUGAUUGUAUCCAAAUAAACAAUCAGCUGAGGUCCCCGCUCUGUUAAUAGUCUUGUAAGCAACUGCUACACCAACCCCGUACCCUCUCCAGUCCACCUCCCAGUAACAACGUCCAGUCAGACUCUCUCUACUCAGAACCUGAGGAUAAUCAGUGAAUCUGUCUGGAUGAUCAGGAUAAGACUGUUCUUCUUCUGUCCUUGUUGCUUUUCUGUUUCCAUCAGAUAAUAUCAGAUUUCUGUUUGCUGUGUUUGGAUCCAGUGUGAUUCUUUGUGAAUAUCUUAAGAAACCAGCUCUGGUCUUGGGUUCUGCUGGUCCUGGUGGUUCUAACAGUAAAACAUCCACUUGAGUCACUGCCUGUGAGACGUUUGUCCACGUCUCUCUCUGAAGAUCCUGGAGUUUCUCUCUGAGCUCUGACACAGCUGCUGUCACCUCCUCAAAGUAUCUCUGAGGACGGAUGUUGAUUCUGGAUGAGUCUGCAGGUUGACCCGGUUCUGACAGUGAGGGGUAGCUGUGCAGAAACUGGUUGUGGUCCUCUGUGAGUGAGAGCUUCUGCAGAUCAGCGUCUUUCCUCUUCAGCUCAGUGAUCUCCUGCUCCAGUUUCUCCUGAAGCUCUUUGACUCGACUCACUUCACGUUCCUGCUUGGAUCUGACCUGCUGCUCCACCUCAGAGCGGCGUUUCUCCAUGAGACGGAUCAGCUGGCUGAAGAUCUCCUGGCUGUGCUCCACAGCUUUAUCAGCAGAGCCGUUGAUAGCCUCCACCUCCUGUUGGAGCAGCUUCACAUCUUCUUCUCUGUCCUGGAUUCUCUGCUGGAUGUUUCCUCGACUCUCCUCCAGAUCUUUCUGCCUCUCAGUCCUUUCUGCUGCAGCUGAGACUGUGUCGUGACCUUUGUGUUGGUCCACAGAGCAGAGAUAACAGAUAGACUUCUGAUCAGUGCGGCAGAAGAUCUUCAUCACCUCAUCAUGACGAGAGCAGAUGUUCUCCUGGAGCUUCUUGGAGGGCUCCACCAGCUUGUGUUUAGCAUAGGCAGGAGAUUCAUAAUGAGGCUGGAGGUGUUUUUCACAAAAUGAGAUCAAACAGAACAAACAGGACUUGACAGCUUUCAGUUUUCUCCCACUGCAGAAAUCACAGGCCACAUCUUCAGGUCCAGCAUCAGAGGAACCAUCAGGAGCAGCUUGGAGUCCGCUCUUUUUCAGUUCCUCCACUAAACCUGCUAACAUGGUGUUUUUCUUCAGGACAGGCCUCGGUCUGAAAGUCUCUCUGCACUGAGGACAGCUGUAGAUCUUCUUCUCAUCCUCUUUAUCCCAGUAGGUUUGAAUACAGCUCAUGCAGAAGCUGUGUCCACAGGAAACAGUCACCGGAUCCUUCAGAAGAUCCAAACAGAUGGAACAAGAGAAAGACUCACGGUCCAGAUGAACUCCUUUCUGCGCCAUUUCAACACUCGCUGUCGACGACGACUGACUGAGUUUUAUUUCCUGAGAAGUGAAACUAGUCUGAGCUCUGAUCUCAACAACAUGUGUGAGUCAGCAGGAUCAGCUCAGCACAUGUCAGUUACACCGAACCUCAAACUGUAGAUCUGAAGGGGAGGGAACAAGGAAGUGAGUGAGCAGAGUGGAGAGUGCUGUGAGAGAGAGGAGGGAGGGGAAAUCUAGUUUAUCUACAAUCCAGGAAGAGGAGCGGCGAUGUGAACUUUAGACUCUCAAACUCAAACAAACAGAAGUUAUUAAAGCUGCAGCCGUCCUGAAGAUCAACUGAACCAACAUUUUACUAAAUGCAUCAACAUUUAUUGGCUUUUUUUUUUUCAAACAUGUGCGUGCAACAUGAAAUUAAAUUGAAAACAAACAAACAAACAAAACCAGUGAGAAUGAGUUCAAAACAACAAUAACAAUAAUCGAAGCAAAAAAAAAAAAAAAAACUGGUGUGUGGAGACAGUGAGACUGGACAAUCUGAUUGGUCACGGGUUCAUUUACUAACAGGACAACAAGCACACUUCAGGGCUAAGACUGUCAGACCAAGAAAAAGUCAUCUGCUUUAAAUGUUCAUUCAAGAGUUGUUAACGUCACUUUAAUCUGUGCCACUGAUGUACUUAUUUUUUUUUUUCAUAUCAACUGAACAGACCUUUUGUUCAGUGUUAAAUCAUUUAUCAUAUAAUCUAAAUAUAUUAUAUAUUUUCAUAUCACAUGUCACAUCAUUACAGCAUGUCAUAUCAUAUUAAAUCAUGUGAUAUACAGUAAUUAACCUUUUCAACUUUGGAGGACAAUAAUACUUCUUUAGUGAGCAGUUCUUCAAGUAAAGCUCUCCCUCUCUCCCUCUCCCUCUCUCUCUCCCUCUCCCUCUCCCUCUCUCCCUCUCUCUCUUCCUCUCUUGCUCUCUCUCUCUCUCUCUCACACACACACACACACACACACACUCACACACUCAUGUAUGUGCAGUCUAAAGGCUCCCUCCAACAAUAGCGUAUUGUGAGACACACUGUGGCAGCAGUAGUUGUGGCUCCAGGAGCGGCUCCUUGCAGCGGUCGGACCUCGCUGCUUGUGACAAAUUGCAUGUGGAAGGAAAUCUGCAGGGCCCAUUGAACUUUAGUAUUGCUUUUAUUCCUCUGUCAUGUUCCCGCAGAGAUGAAAUGGGAUCGGUUUCUUUCUUGCUUUUUUUUUUCCCUGCCUCCCUUAUUCACGGCUCUGUGACCGCCGGUGUGCUGGAUAAACGACCAACGCUGCCUGACAGUCACAGACAUUCUUCUCUUCUUUUCUUUUUUUUCUCCUUUCCCACUCCUACUCCUCUUCAAACUCGCCUCCAGAUUUCAGGUACUUGAAAUGAAGCAGAGAAGAAACGAUGUACUUUCACCCCUGCAGCGGUGCUGUGGCUGAGCAGCGCUCUUUUAUUCCCUAAAUGUUGCCGACAUGGAUCUUUGUUAGACGUUUUGUACAACAGAAUCCAAAACUAAUUCUCUUUUACAUGUCAGCGAAUAUAGUAGUGCUGUUCUUCUUAUAGAAAACAACAUGUUGGAGUCUGUUAAACUCUAACAAAUAAAAGCAUUUUCUUCUAACUAGAGGGGAGACUAUUUCCACUCUAAUACCAAGUGUUCAAAGCAAAAUUCUCAACAUGUAAAGGCUGAAUUAGAAUCAAAGUUACUGUGGUUGACUAAAGGCGUGUGCCCUGAAGUCUUUGGGAAUAUAUCCAAGAGCGCUUCUUGCCAAAACCUGCAUGGAUACACGUUACAAAACCGACAUGGCUGCAAAUACUAGCCUUCCCACCACAGUCUGGACUUCAGCCCAUAGAGAGCGUGUAUGCCCGAUCAGAAAAUAACCGGGCCAAUCAGAGACCGUGUUUCCACUGUUACCCGGACAACAGGGAAAGGCAGCCCCUGAUUGGUCCAUGUGCUACUUUAACCAAUCACCGUAACCAAGCAACUGUGAUGAUGUCUGAUGGUUGGUUACAGUGAUUGGUUAUAGUAGUCUGUCUAUCAAGGAAAGUACUCCCGCCCACUUUCAGGGCUUCCAAUGGGCCGGAGUCCAGACUGUUGUGGGAAGGAACGUCAAGUGACUCACGCAACAGGAUGGCCCAGCCAGGCUAUGCAAAUACUAUGAUAGCAGUUUUGAAAACACGUCACAUAUGGUGCAGUGCAAAAACAAGCCAACAGAUGGCAGCAGGAGCAAAAACACACCGUGCAUUUCAUCUCAAAUCAAAACACGAAGUCGCUGUUGUUAAAACAGGAAGUAAAGAAUAAUGCUGCAACAUCACCAACCUCGUCUGAUCAGGCGUUAGCAAUGACAGGUAAGCCUGCAGGCCCAAUCUUAUAAUCGGAAUCUUCCUUUAAAGGAACUGAUAUCUACCCGUGUGACGGGGUAUCAUUACGACAGUACUGACACAGACUGGGCUGGAUGAUGCAGGAGGAGAAGUCCUCACAGCCUCAUACGUCUGCUGCGUUGUCUCCGUUUUUACAUCCAAUAUUAAUGAACAUCUGCAGCAGCUGUUGUUGUUCUUUCUUUGUGACUAACUUCAGAUUGAGAUCGCUCGUUCAAACGCUCGGUGACUCAUCGGCAGCAGACAUCGUUCCAGCUGUCAGCCGUCAUCAUGUCGGGUACCCAGAAGCAAACAGCAGGUCACGAAACCUGUCGCCUCGUCAGUCCUGCGAGUGCCGGGUGUUUGCAGGGUGGAGUUUAGGUUUGAGCAAACAAAUCUCUCCAUUCAGGUGCUACCUGGGAAAAUAAAGAGGAGCCACUUAACAGCCACUGAGCUGUUUAAUUAGAGGCCCUGCUGCUCGUUAAUAAGGACACUGACGAGAAGCACCGCCCACUGCUCACUAAUGAUGGUGAGCUCCUAACCGAGCUGGACACAUCCAGGCUGCUGGCUGUCUGCAGCAGGGGGGCAGGAAGUGGAGUGGGGGCUGUGAUUGGCAGGACACAGCAGGGGGGCGUGGCCACCAGGCCUCAGCUAAUUGCAAAGUUAAGACGCAGCAGGAGUCUGUAAUGUGUUGCUGCACUUUUACUGUUAUUGAACUGGGUGUUAUUGAUCAGGCGUGUUGUUUAUGUGUACAGAUGGAGGCGUGGUGAGUUUCUCAUACAAAGGUUAUCAGGUAUUGACGGACGAGCUGAUGGGUCGUGGCCUUUGGCUCCACUCCGGUCUGCAACGCUGAUGGAGUGAAGAGUGGACGUCAGCAGACAUCACAGGAGGAAACUUGAACUGAGAAAUCUGAAGCAUUUCAAGCUCCAAAAACUCUGUUUCUGAUUUGGCGCCUCCUGUGGACAAAGCAAAACUUCAUGUUGCUUUGCUGGUUUUUCCUGUAAACAUGCAAACAAACACGGGCCAGUGUUCAACUCUGCUGUAGAAAUACUCAACGAAGGCUGCUCUAGAAGCAUGCCGUUCAUUUCUUGUCUGACAUCCAUCCUACGGCGAUGAUUUCAGCCUUUAAAAAUCACUGUGUAGAAAUAGUGAGUGUUGCAGCUGAUGGUCUGGUUUGUUUGAAAGGUCAAAAAGAGCGCUUUAUUAGUUUAAGUUUGUUUAAAACCAGUUAAAAUCACUUCUGAGGAGAACCUCCAUCAAACAGUCAGACCUCUGGGUUUUAUAUCUUGGACUGAAACAAAGUCAGUAAGUAAACUGGACCAACUGAGAUCUUUAAACAGAGACAUCCACCAAAUAGAAGAAAACAGACAAACGUCGGCUUUGGCUGUCUAGCAAGUACUUUAGUUCACAACCUUUACCUGAGAUUUUAGUAACCAUGGUGUGUGUUCUCAAAAAUCAAGUUUAGUAUCUCAUGAAGUAAUUAUUAGUAAAUAAAAACCCCAAACUGUGAGAUAUUGUGUUAAAUAUAUGAGGAAAUGUUCAUUUUCUGCCUCAUAUUUAUAUCGUACAGCGGGAUCAGUUUAACAUUUUAUUUUAUGUUUUUAUAGUUUGAAAAGUCUUCCACAUUUCCAAACAUUUCUAUCAUUGAGUUCUGUGAGCUGAAUUAAUAUAGAGCUAAACUCUAGAGGGAACUACAGGUAAGACUUUAGAUUUCAGUUUAGUUUUGAUAUGUUUCUAAAGCUGGAUUUGUUGAAAGUUCUUCAUUUUAGUCUAGACCAGAUUAGAUCACAUCAUCUCCUUUGUGUGAUACUUAACUUUAAGGCUGAUUUUACAAUAUAAAUUCAGUAAUAAAUGAUAUUUAUUGUGGCAUGGGCUCACAUUCGUGAUGCCAUCCCAGCAGUCUCAGUUCUGAGGCUGGGCCACCCCUGUCACAGACGUCUGGACACGCCCCUGCUUGCUAUCAUACCUCGCUCCAGGUACUCUACGUUGUUCUUGGUUCAGCUACAGAUGGAUCCUUGCUGAAUAGAGGGAUCUGCUGAUGGGAAACAGGAGAGAACAAUGACAGAUAGAGCCUCAGCUCACAGUCUGACAGCAUAUCGAGGAUGUCAAUAUGGAUCUCCCAUUAUUGAUAUCAUCAGAUUAUAGGUUAACUCAUCCUAAAACAGGGGACAGCACUUUGGCAGCUUGUAUGAGGGGAAGAGGUCACCCAGUAAAGUGUUAAGAAAAAUCAGCUCAUUAAAAACACAGACAUGUUUUUCUGUUUUUCACUGCUUUACAAUUUGGUUGCAAAAUAAACUGGUUUGAGGACGAUCCCGUCAGAAUAAACAAGUGGAAUAAUCUUCUUUGACAGCCAUGAUGUCUGACAGAGCAUGUCACAGAUAUUGUCACACUCAGGGGAAUAAAAAUAAAACCCUGAAAUGGUCUUUUAUUUUGGAGCCUUGGGAAGCAUCCGAGCCGUCAAACAGCUGUCCUCUUUUUGACACUCCAGACAGGGAAAGCAGGCGCUUUAAUCCACCGACUCAGUUGCAUCAGACCGGCUGAAGCUGUAUAGUCUGAUCCACACUAAAAGGAUCACUGUACCUACUAUGAUAUGGAGAUACUCAGGCUCCCCUCAUGUGGUGGAUUUAUCCUUCUUUCAUCACCAAAACAGGUCUGAUAUUACCCCUACAGGUCACCCAGUCACAGAGAGUCGAGUUUUCCGGGGUUUCUGAGGCCUGAGUUAUCUUCACAGCAUCACAGUUUCACUAGAAAAAAAAAACAACAACUUUAAAAAUGCAAUAAAUGAAGUUGUUUGCCCCAGUCAGUCUUUUCACUCUGCAGGAUGAAAUAUGUGUUGUUCCUCGGUGUGUUAUUGAUGGACGUUGUUGUCCUAUAAUGCAACAGGAAUGAAGAAGUGGGUCCAUUUGGCUCCAAAUGGAGUGAGGCAGCUCACAGAGAUAUCAGGGAACAAAGAUUGACGAAUAACACCUCAAAAACAAUCUCAAAAAAAAAAAAAGUUUCAGCUUUGAGGAGAAUUUAAAAAGUUUCGAACAAUCUCCCUGAAAUAACUCAUUUGUUGGUGGGCUGUCCUUUUGAGGCUCUAUGUGGUUAAAUCAUAGACGGUAUAGAAAACAGACGCUGUCUGCCUCCUCGCUGGGUGAAGCCGCUCUGAGAACAGCACCCUCUGGUGACGGGCUGCAGUAUAGCUGUGGACAAACUUUAUGAAUGAAUGACACAGAAUAUAAAUGUUUCUCCCCCCUGGUUGUGAUGUUGACAUGUAGUUACUGUCAGACUGGUUUGUGCUCAAGUCCUCUUUUUUCUGUACAGCUCCAUUUUUAAACGUUAUUAGGGGGUUCAUGUUUUCUAUGAUUGACACUUGAUACAGCCUAUAUGCGUACGAAGAUUGCGUAGCUCACCCAGGGGAUACGCUGUUCGAGCCGAGCGUCAUCACAGCGACUCUCGAAAUGGAGAGAAAACGCGAAAUUACCAAGUUUUCGGCUUCAAAUCCGUUUACUGGCGUAAGGCGGAACCAAGUUGUCCAUUGUACAAACCGUCUAUGGUUCAAAUGGCAGCAGAGGUGGAGGGAGGAGUCAGCUAAACAACUGCUGACAUUGGCCAGUUUAAGGUUAAAUGUGUCACUACCGUAAUAACUGUAAUAUACAUCUCACUGGUUUUGGAUUUUGUGACACAGUCUGUUUCCGGUGAACUCCUGGGGGAAAAGAUUAAAGCUGUCUUCUUGUUUGAAAGCUUUUAUGUGAUUUUUCAGUGCAGAUGUGUAGCUCUUUUUUCAUAUAAUCUGAUAAUGCAGUCCUGCAGCUUGAGCACAGAAUAAAACAAUCAGUGUGUUUACAUGUAUAAUCAAACCGAGCCACUGUUAAAGCUCUAUUCGAGGACUUACCAUGUCAUGCACCAAAACAAUCAACAAACCUAAGAGCAAGAGGAACCUUUCAAAUGUUUAUCACCUCAAAAAGCCUAGCAACACAAUAAUCACGCAGUAUCAUCCGUACAAUCUGUGCAAAUAUAAAGUCAGUUUUGAGGUGAACCACAUUACAGGCCAUCUCUGCUCAGUUUUCUAUCAUUUUCAUUUAAUUUCGUCUGGGAUUAGGAUGAGAUAACUUAAUUAAGAGAAGAUUUCAGCAUCUCCGCUCUCUGCUGCUCAGAGCUGCUCUAUGAGCUCUCAUCCUGAUCACGCUAAAUUAAGUCCACUAUAAGCUUGAGAGGGAGAAAGACGGUCCUAAUCAUCCGAUAAAUUUCAAUGUUUAUCAACACAUCGAAAAUGAGCAAUUGUAAAUCUGACACACGGAGAAUUUGAAAUAAAGGCCUUCCUCUAAUACAAGCCUGCUUCAUACAAAGGCCUGGUCCCUUAGGCAGUGAAUGAAAAUAAUCAAAAGGAUGUUUAAAUCUAAAAAGGAUAUUUCCACCUAAAACAAGACAAUAUAACACAUCUCCAUUGAAAAAAUUUAACACAAUGUAAAAUCUAAUUUUUGCAAACGAGAAAAGAGCCCCCUGCUGGACAUUGAAAGAAUAGCUUCACUCAAACCCCAAUACUGUGUCGACUUUUAACAUCUUAAAAGGUUAAUCUACGACGCUCUGACUAAAACAAUUUUGCACUCUCACUUUAAUUAUGUAACAGAUGUCUUACAGUUUUUGCAUCAGGCGUGGAAGUGGGUCACUGAGACAGUCCCCUGAUGUUUUCCGCUCGCCGCUGUUGGUGCAGUGCCUUGCUCAAAGGCACCUUUAACCGUCGACCUUCCUGUCGCCGUCGUCCUCCUCCUCCUCGCCCGCCGUCGAGCUCUGGCUGGGUCACCUCCAGGAGCGCCGAUGCUGCUGUUUCUCCUCCUCAUCUGUCUUACAGCUGCGGCGGUGGAGGCGAUGCGUCUCCGGUGUCGAACAGGUGAACACAGCCAUGCAUUACAAGCGCCGAGCCGCCGACCCCGGGGGAGGCGAACACACACACGCACACAUAUAUACACACACACACAGACACGUAUACAUACAGCAGCACACCAGCUGGCUGCCUGAGAAAGAAAAAACAGCAGCUCAUGACAGAAAAUAAUCCCCUGAACAAGGACGAGCUGAGUGUCUUUUUAUAAUGUACAACAUGCUGUGUGUUUGUUCUGCUGCAUCAGGUUUAAUAUCACACACACUCAUUAGCUGCUAACAGAGUACAGUUCCUCUGACUGUAAAUAGACUCAUCCUCCUCCACAUUUUCAGACGGCACUUUGAUAAUUUCAUCUUUCCUCCAACAUAAUCUGCUUAAAUGAAAACUCUGCUUCAUUUCAACUACACAGCUCUGCAUCCACAAAUGAAAAGGAUCGAGAAAAAGGAAAUAAACUUAUACUCUUCAUGUCUGAGUCCAUUCGCAGCUUACGAGUGGUUGGAAAAUAAGCUCACUAUGUUCUUGAGUACAAAGAGGGAAAUGAGAAAUAAAAGACGCAAAAUCAGACAGAGAUGUUGUUUGUUCUUUCUUCCGCUGGUUAGUUUGACAUUGUGUUUCUGAUUAAUGGUUAUUUUUUUGUGUCCUAGCCAAUCAGGAGUUUGCAGAGUAUCCAGGCAGUUUGCAUUAGUCCAUAUACACAGGCUGCAGAUUGCAAACAAAACACACACUUCAAUAACAGCGUUGCAAAUCUUCAGUGGCAGCCGAGAUCUGCUCGAUGUGAAUCCUUCAAAACUUCAGAGUUUUAAACAACUUAUGGGUUCAUUUUCUACCCGAACUAGUUCAAAGUUCAGUUCACUUUAAAGUGAUCUAGUUCAGUUCAUCGUUCAUAAUUCUACAUUUUAAACUCAUGUUUUCCCAAAAAUGAACUUAUUUAGUUUUUUUUCUCCAAUACUUUGCUGUCAGAUGUUAUAGAACCUCAGAUAGCAAUUAUUUUAGCUGUUUAAACACUGACACUACUUCAGAUUAAUCUUCAUAUCCAUUUUUGAAUCCUAAUCCAACCAGGUUUACAAUAGAGAGGACUGCCCUCAGAAUACUGAUGUUUCUCUGAUGUUUAGUUCAGUCCUCACUCGUAGGAACGUUCAUGUCUAGAGUAUAUUUUCAUAAAUAUGAGGAAAACCUGCUGCUUGAACGGUUUUUAGACUCUUUAUCAGGAUCACAACAACAGGACUGUAGGCCUUAAAUUUGUUUUUUUUUAUUUCUAUACUUUUCCAAACUGACCUGAAAACAAUUCACAUCAAAUUCCAUUUCAGUCAGACUGAAGAGGAACCAGAACAAAUACUGGAAAUAACAAUUAACAAUAAAUGCUCAUACAAGUCUGUGUUCUCCGGACAGCGAGUACUCCUCCCUCAUCCUUCAUGUUUACUGAAGUCAAAACUGACGUAUUUAUUGGAGCGACAGACAGGCUGCCUGCGGUUGCCAGAUUGGGUGGCUUUCCGCUAAAUAUAAAGGCCUGUCUAUGGUGUGUUUCGCCUGGAAGACUCUGGACAUCUGACUCAUUUGUGAACAGAGUUUUGAACGCUGCUCACAGACGCCAGAAUGAGCGCGUUCAACACCAACGUGUUCAUAUGCAAACAAAGAACGAUCACCCGAAAUAUGAACAAGUUCAUGAACGAUCGUUCAUUGGACACGUUCGGGCACAACACUGAGGGUGACCAUACGUCCUCUUUCACCCGGACAAGUCCUCUUUUUUGGGAGCUGUCCGGCCUUGUCUGGAGAGUUUAUAAAGUCCUUCAAAUGUCCAAGUUUUUGUAUGACAAUUUCGGGUUUAUGUAGCGUGGACUAACUGAGUUAGAAGCGCGUAAAAAAAACACUCGACCAGAUUCGAAAAACUCUCAAAAUUUUGCGCACGACUCCACCCCAUGUACUCGUGUCCUCUUUUUAGGGAUUCAGAAUAGAGGUACUCAUGUAAUAAUAAUUUAAGUUCAUAAAGAUGCAGUCUAACCAAGAGUCGUCCUCAUUCUGAUCAGUAAUAAACCCACAAGUUUUCUGUCAAGAUGUCCGAACAACAGUCCCAGUAAUCCCAGUUUCUAGAUACUGGUUUUCAGUCUGAUUGACGGGUGAUGACCUUCUUUGAUAGUCAGACUCCGGAUCAAACAUGCGUCUCUGCUCGAUCACGCAUUAAAUUGUGGGUUUUACUGUCAUUAUUCUCAUCCACAGACACAAACUGCUCACUGAUGAGUUGAGGAAUCCUUCUGAAAUGAUUUUCUGCUGAUACAGAUCUCCUUCCGCCGGCCUGAAGAACAGAACAUCCUGGUCUUUGUGCGGGGAGGAGAGGUUGUGAUUUCUGGGUUAGAGGAUCCUCUGAGCUUCACAGGAUUCUGUCUGUGUUCUGCACGAGUCAGCAUUGGCCUGAAUUCCAACAAUAUCACCCUGAAGGAUGUAAUACCAGCUGCUGCAGUGAGAGCUAUUCCCCUCCUGUAUGAUAUUGCACACGGAAAAGUCAUCGGGCUCAGCCCCCGACAAGCACCUGUAUUCGAUUUCUCAUCUCUGCUCGGCGGAGAGCUCUAAGCCUUGUUCUCGCUGGCACUAAUCCUCGCUAGAAAACAGCUUUCAGAGGAUUAGCAUCAAGGGGGGCAGAGCGGCGCUCGACGGCGGGGGAGCCGUGCUUCCCCUCUUCUUCUUCUUCUGCUUCUUCUUCUUCUUCUUCCUCCUCGCAGCACUUUCCUCCUCUGUAAGUUAACCUCACACACACAAGGCUUGACUUGACUCAGAAAAUCUUUGACCUUCUGCUUGGUUUGCUCCCCAUCGACCCACAGUGGCCUCCAUUAAAGCUCAGCGCUCCCCGGUGACAUUCAGUUAAGACUCCCCUCAGGUUCUUCCUCCUUCACGCUGCGGCUGGAUAACUUAGCCAUGUAAUUCCAUGUUAUCUGGAAGAACUGGGCAGCCCACAUGCUGAACCGAGCUUGACCUACUGCUGUAAGCUACUGUAUCUCAUUGCAGGAACACACCCAAAAGCUGGAGGUAAAGAGGUGUGAGGCCCGGAGGUGGGGGGAAAAGGAAAACUGGAGCUUAAUUCUUGCUGCGGGCGAUCUGUGGACGGAUACGAGACGGAGCGGCAGAGAAACAUGGAGAACAACAGCACCGCUCACGGCCUCUUAUAGAUGCUGAAAAAGCAAAAUGAUGUUCAGUGCUGGUGUGUUUUUUAAAGCAACAAUUCAGUUUCUGCGAACAAAGAGAGGAUUAUCCCGCAUGGUGAUGAGGAGGAGCUGCUGGAGGCCACAGCUCCUGCAGAGAACUACUUUUUGGAGAUUGUAAAUUUAACUUUCUCCUCCACUGUUUUCUUCUUUUUAUGCCGUUUCUUUUAUUUAUCCCCCGAACCUCUGCAAAUACUUCAUACUAAUCAGUGGCUUUGAUUCUAUUUCUCCCUCUGCAAACAGCGGGCCGCUCACUUAAGAGCACUGAGAGAGAUGAAAGCUUGUGCAUCCGGGCAGGGAUCAAAAAAAAAGAGAGAGAGAGAAAGGAAGCGGGAGAAAAAAAGAUGCUUCGUCUUCCCCUCAGCUUCCAAAAUCCUGCUGCUUGUGACAGAGUUGUAAAUACCCGAGAUAAAAGACGGCUCUGACUGCUUGUACUUAACAUUCCCAUUAGACUACCGACAAUGGCUGCCUUUGUGCGCUCUCAUGUACGGAUACGAGCGGAAAUUCCUUUGCCUCCGGUGUUUUGCGAAACACAAUCCAAUCAGAGGAAAAUUGAGGGAAAAAAGGAGAAAAGGGAGAGAAAAUAAAAAAGCAAACUGGAACAAAAGCAGGCGAUGUUUCGGGAAUUCUCUCAGGUGAGAGCGCUCCGGAAAAAGGAUUUGGAAGAGAGGAUGAGUGAAAAAAACGUGUACAGGAUCGUCUGUUGUUGGAAAAAUCUGCAGGAGGACGAUUAGAGAGUCAACAGACACAUCCGAACGUUUAACGGCUGAUUCUGACGAGUGAAAAUUAAACUCAAAGAGCCGAAACCUGAUUUAGGUGUGGAGAGAGAGACUGCAGCUUCAGCAGAAGGACGUCUGGUCGCUGCCAGAUGAAGAAGAAGAAACUCAAACAUUUUUGGACUUUUUCCUCGUGGAAGAUGACGGAAACAUGGAAACGAAUUCAGUCUCUGAAGGGUCAAUAUCAGCGGAGAAGUAGGUGAUGAUAUCUUCACACAGGAAUUAAAAGUUCUGUCUCAAACUUUUUAACUCCCUGUUGAGUUUGGUCGCGCAGUUUUCCAAACAUUUUACAAUCGAAGGAACUCACUGAUGGAACCAGAACAAAGUCCGACCCAUCAGAAAACUUGAGAAGUUUGAACAAGUUGGGUACAAACCAAUGAUUGAUCUCAAAUUUGGAAGAGUAUCUGAUGGCACAUAGUGAGAAAAUCACUCAAAGUGUCUUUGGAAAACAUCCAUCUCAGUUUAUGGAGACACUUCUCGCUUGUUUUUUUUUUCACGUUUCGCACCAUCACGUCCAGUUUGAGCUGCAGUAAGUGUUCAGAAGAAGUUUGGAGAAGCAGAAUCGUCACAAAGAUGUGAGUUCUUGCGGAAAGAACAGGAACAAAGACUGUGAGGAUGAAGUGGACGCAGCCAACGUUCAGUUUUUGGAGCGCGGAGUGACCGAAGGCAGGGAUGGAGAGGAAGCAGGUGGGGGAAGCAGUGGUUGAUGUUUGGGAAGGAGAAGAAGAACUAAGGAGGUCCAGGGAUAAAACUGAGGCAGAUCAUUUCUGUAAAUAUCCAAAUCCAGGUAAACGAUCUUUUCAGUUUCAUCAACAGCUUUUCACUUAUUCUCCGGUUUUGAUGCGUUUUCUAUGUCCUGCCAACAUUUACGUCCCCUAAAUUGUUUCCCCAUAAACUUACACUAACUUAAGGCAAAAACAUACAGGAUCCGUAUUUGGCGCAUCGUCCACACAGAGAAGAUCGUUCCAGACAGGAAGUUAAGCACGAAACCAUGAAUGUCAUCCUGUAUUUCAAAAUAAAACACCAUAUUUGAACUCCUAAAUGUGUAUCAGUCGGUGUAGAUGAGAAAUCCUUCCUGGUUCUGGAUUUAUCAGUAACACAGAACAAUCUGAUGGUCAAUCCCUGAUCCAUGUGGACCCCAACAGGACUUUGACCUGCUAACUCUGUCUGAAGGGAACAUCAUAAAGGAACAGAGUUUACUUUAUUAAACACCAGUAACAGACAGUAGAGGCUCAACAGUCACUGAAUUAUAUCCAAAUUAUCAGGAAAUCGACCACAGAAAGGAGAAACAACCUGUUGUGAGCAUGUUGUUUUGCUGCUACGCUAUCAAACACGUAUUCCACAUGUGAUACCCAAUGCUGAUCUACGUGGCAAAUACGGAACACACUCAAUACGGAUCCUAAAUGUUUUCGACUUUAUACGAAGAAAAAAUCCCUAACCUCAGUCUUUUCUGGGGGUCCCUCAGCUCCAUCAUCCUGUAGGUUCCUCUGCUGCAGACGUCCUGCUGCUGUCAACUCUCCUGAUUCCAGCCCCAUCACCGGAUCAGUCUCAGCAGAUGACGGUCUAACAUCAGUCUGGUCCUGCUCGAUGUUUCUGCCUGUUAAAGGAAGUUCUUCCUCUCCACUGUGACUUACUAAACGCUGUAAAGUGUGGUUGGAGAUGAGUUGAUCGGUGCGAUACUUAACUUCCAAGAUGAAACUUGAGGGGAGGAAGUGAAGGAGGGAAGGAAACAGGCAAACGGAAGGGUGAAAAAUUUGGAACCCGCCCCCUUUUCCCCCUCAGAGAGUGCUCUACCCCUCAGCCUGAUGUUCGGACAUGGAGACAGAGGAGGCGCCCUGGUUUUCCAAAGGCACCGAGCUGCCCCACCAACCCCCCUCAGAGGGUUUUACGACGACCCUGCAGAGGUCGCCAUGGGUGACGAGGAAAGGGGCUGAAAAAUGGGCUCUUGUCUGGAAAAUGGAGGAGAAACACACACAUGCAUACUCACACACACACACACACACACACACACACACACACACACACAGGGUUAUGAAAUAUUAUCACUUCUGUUGAUUGAGCUUAUUUGGGUCUCCUCGUAUUCUGCGACGUCAGCUGUUCCUGUUCGGAGGGGGAUUUGAUGACGGGUAAUAAACUGCACCUGCUAAAUAAAACUCCACCCCCCCUCCACCCUCCCACUCCCCGAACGGCAGGACAGUACAUCUUAGCAUGCUUACCUCAAGGCUUUAUGAACUGGACAGCUUUGCUAAUUUAGCAUACUUUUAAAGGUCGUGAGCUAAUUUCAGACGCCUCUGACGUCAGGUCGACCUUGAUGAUCUGAUCCUAUACUUCUUCUUCUUCUUCUUCUUCUUCUUCUACUCUGCUGUCAGCUGCUGCAGUGAUGCACCAUUUACAGGAUAUUUAAAACCCGAUAAGCACCAUUAACCACACUUUUAAUGAACACUGCGCCAUCAGCACCAACACCGUCAGGUAGAGUGCUAAUUGGAACGACGCGUCAUCGACUUUAUUGACACCGGUUAUUAACUUCCAAUAAUAAUAACACAGCUCUGAAGUGUGGGUAUAGCUGUAAAUAAAUGGAGGGAAAAAGAUGGUUCGCACACUAGACUGCACAUUGUAUCCACUCAUAAUGAUCAACAGGCUUUAAACAAGCUGUGAAAUGGAAAAUAACUCUGGCCUUUUGGAGAGUUUUUCAGGCUUCUGGAUACAUCUGCUCUCGUUUUACUUUCAUUUGACCUCGUGCAAAAAAAAAAGAAAAAGAAAAAAAAAAAACGGUAAAAUAACAACAAACAGAUUUUUAAGUUUUCUACUCAAGAUUCACUCAGAAAAACCAAAGGCUGGGACCUUCACCUCGCUCAUCCUGCCCCUGAUCGCUCAAAUUGGAAAAUUUUCUGCACAACAGUGUCUCUGAACUCACAUCCACUAAGAACAUAUUUGACACACAUGUGUGUAGAUAUGAUUUCUUUACCUCAAUAUUAAUACAGACCUGAGCUCAGGUGGGCCUGAGCUCGGGGAGGUCAGGGUGUCCGUGAACUGACAGCAGCACAUCGGAUUCAGAGACGAGCCUCAAAUUCACGUCGUGCAGAAGUAAAUACUUCGUUAUUUUAGACCUGCUUCCUCCCUCGCUCUGUCAUUUUAACGAAGUUUAGGUUUGUGGUUGCUCUGGUCUCCCAUGAUCCUCCACUCACAAAUUUGUGAACAUGCAACGUCGCAAGUGGUGUAACGUCACGCCAACACAGCAGGACUGCAAAUUCUCCCUGAAGGUUCAUCCUGAUUUUACUGUCAGGUGCUAAAAAGCGGAGCUAAAACUCACUUCAUAGAGUCAACAAAUGUCUGAAGUUUGAAACCAAUUCCGAGUUGGAAUCUGGUUCUCGAUACCCAAGCAGAAGGCCAUGACUCAUUGCUAACCCGGGAUUUCCACCGCAUCUGGAACGGCUCUGAUCCGGAACGUCAGCAAUUUUUGCCGUAUGUAAAUUCCUACCGGAUCCAUUUGUGAGGCGAAUUUCAUGCAAUUAGGGAAUAUUCACUUGCAGUCGUGCGAUAACAAGUUGUCUUUAGCCACACAGGCUAACUAUAUAAGCAGUAGACUGUGUCCUUCCAGAGGAGGAAAUCUACUUCUAGACUUCUAGACUCAGCAUCUCCUCAUCCAUGGUGUCAUCGAGGUGAAAUGACGUCUAAAAACCUUUCACUUGUUCGUCUCCGCCCGUUUGCAUGGUGUGAAAUACGAUCCUCCUGAAACACGGAGUGUUUUAUUUUGAAAAGAAGCCGGAUGUUUUAUUUUGUGUCUGUGCCCGACUUCCUUUCCAGCACGGGUUAAUCUGUGCUGAAUUUAUCCGCCAUGCUCCGGCGUCCAGAAAAAACAGAACUCUUGCGAUCAGCUGUGGAGUCCGGCGAUCCGCAGAGGAACGGAAG